rnacentral:lncRNA from 1 species
CAGUGUAAGUGCCUGAACUUUUUACGGGGCGUUUGGAUGGACGAAUCUGUAGAUCCAACGUAAGUCAAAUAUAGUGGUGUUUGAGUUUUCCUGAAGUGUGAUUAUUUUUUUGUUGUUUGUUUUGACGUAAUCCGUAAAAUUCAAUUACUUCUUCUGUUUGUUUUGAUGUAACUUGAUGCGGGUAAAAUUAGUUUAUCUCCUAAAUAUAGUAGUAAAUUUACCACUAUAAAAUUUAACCUAUUAUAUAAUUAAAAUUUUUAUUAUUAUUUAAAGGUAAUCCUAAUUUAUUAUAAAUAAGGUAAUUCUAACUCAUUAUAAAGAAAGUAGAGUUUAGAUUUUACUAUUUAAUUAAUUUUUUAGAAAAAGUUGAGUGUGGUGGAAGUCGAGUUUGGCAUUUUAGAGGAUUAAGUCGAGAGUAGGUGAAGUGGAGCUCUAACAUAACUUGAGUUAUAUUAUAUUUUUUACUUACACCAAAACAAAUAACGGAAGUGAUGGAACUUGAGUUCCAUCACUCCAUUUGCAUCAAAACAAACCGGCCCUAUUAGUCGAUGUGCACUUUAAGUGUUCAAAAUUUGGAAGUUAAAUUCAUAUUUGACACUCCAAACUUUUCGAAAUUUCUUAAUUUGGAUGCUUACACUGUCAGAGAAUAAUUACUGUCCGCAGAUGGUGCAUUUAUUUAUAUAAGCACUGUAAAUUUAUCGGUCCUUUUAUCCAUCUCGUACUUUUAAUUUUUGCCCAAAUUCUAAGUAAAAUAAAAGCAAUUUCUUUUGUACUAGUAAAUAAGGCUAGGAACUAAAGGGAAAGAUUUUCGAAAAUUUGAGACAUUGGAAGCCCAACUCAAAAGUUUAAGGGCCCAAAGUGAAACUUAGUCUUAAAGGUUGGGACUAAUAAUGCAAUUUAGUCUUAAGAUAUAUUUUUUUAAAGAAAAAUUUAAUGCACCUUCCAAAUUGGGGGUAUACAAAGCUAGGCGCUAUUUAGCAUACAAUAUAAUUGAAAGGGUUAAUUGCUUACAGGUCCCCGCAAAUAUAGUGAAUUACAAAUAUAUUCAUAUAAAAUUCAACUUUUACAAGUUAUCACUAUAAAAGUUCUAAUAUAUUUAGAUAUGUCCUAUGGUUAGAAUCUGUUAGAGAACUGUUUAUUUUUUAACAGUAGGCUCAUGAAAUGACAUUUUUGUUCUCACAAAUUGUCCCUCCAAAACAAUUUUUGCCCUUUCCUCUUUCUCUUCCUUUUCAAGUUGCGGGAGCGGGUGGCGGUGGCAGCGCGGAGCUUGUCGGAGUUGCGGCCGACGAGGACAAGGUUGAGGCACGCUGCGGCGAGGCGAAAGGCGAAGGUGCAGCCGAUUCGAAAGCACUCGUGAUGAUGGCCCACGCGAGCACGACGAUCGAAUCAUUGACGACGACGACGAAGGAGGAGAAAAUGAGGAGGAAAAAAUAGGAUACGAAGAAGAAGAGGGAGGCGGCGGAGGCUGUUGUCCAGCCUCCGCCGCACUGAUCUCGGCCGGAGACGCCGCCGAGGAUGGCGAAGUCGACGCCGAUCUCCUACGAGGAGCACCGCCCGAUCUCCCACGAGGAGCACCAUCGACGUGGCCUCCAUCGGCCGCUUCCUCUACGACCGCGGCUCCUCCUUCUCCGUCACGAUCGCCUGCCGCAAGAGGGAGAGGAAGAAAACGAGGGGUAAAAUUGUCAAUUCACUUUAUUAGUUAAUUAUGGUUAAGUAUUUUAAUCAUGGUUAACUAAAUUUCUUUAACGGAUACUAACGGCGGGAAUAUAUCUGAAUACAUUAGGACUUUUGUAAGGAUAACUUAUAAAAGUUGAACUUUGUAGAAAUAUAUCUGCAAUUCACUAUGUUUGUGGGGACCUAUAUGAAAUUAACCCUAAUUGAAAUUAGAUAACAGGAAAACUUAAACAGUUUUAAAGACUCAUGCAGUAAGAAAGUACUAUGGAAAAAUACUCUGUUUGUUUCCGUUCGUAAUAUUACGUUCCGAAUAUCGCGAUCCGUACGUAAUAUUACGUUCCGAAUAUCGCGAUUAGUCGAUUACCAUAUAUAUUCUACAGUUCUACCGGAGAACGCAGAAGCAUAUCCCUAUACGCUUUUACUCUAACUUCAUUUUAUUUAAUAGCGUUAAAUAGGCCUAAAUACCAAACUAAGUUUUAGUAUCAAGGCCGUUUUAUACUAUCGGCGGAGAAGGAGUUGGAAGGGAGGUAUAUAGGAAUGUGCUUUUUCAUUUUGUUUCUAUUUUGGGGGUGAGAAUCCUAAAAUUAUAUUUUACUAUUGAACUUACUAUGAUAUAUGUGUGACAUAACCAUUUCUAGUAAAAUGAUUAUUUUUUUAUCAUCAUUUUUAGUGAACGUAAUACAAUUUUUCUACCAUUCCAAACAGAGGAUAAAAUAUCUUGGAGAACAAACAUAAAUUUCUACCAUUCCAAACAUAGGAUAAAAUAUCUUGGAGAACAAACAUAAAUUAAAGAUGAUUCGUAGUUUAGUGCGUGAAAAAAUGUUUGAUUUGAGAAUGAGGAGAGAGAUAGGGAACUGGUGAUGGACCACUCUGCUAUUCUUCCAAACACAAUAUUGAGAUAAACUCUUUAUCUCUUCUUAUAGAUUUGAGUGGGGAUGCAUGCCAUCCUCUUAUUCCAAAAAAUUAACAAUUCCAUGGGUGGUGGUGGUGGAGGAGGAGAUACAAAGUCCUCAUCAAAAGCUUCUUGUCCUCUUUGAAAAUUAAUUGUGAAUGGAAUGAAUGGAACAUGGAUAUGGAUAUACAUACAUCAAGGAGGGCUUCCAAGUGACUCCCAAAUCCAGUAUUUAACACUCGGGUUGAAAUUCUUUAAUCUAAACACAACUUAAGAACAAUAUUUACCGGCGGAAUAUCUGUUUCGUAGAAGUUGCUCAAUUUAUCAGCUUAAUUGGCUCCGAUAAGAAUCAAAUACGUUAGGCCAGAGCAUUGAGAUAAUUCAAUUGAGCCAAAAAUUUUUAUAUCUUAUAUCUAUAUCUAUAUCUAUAUCUAUAUCUAUACUAUACAUAAAAUCGUAUAGAAUUUCCGACGAUGACAGACGGAAUUCAAAAAAGAAUAAAAUAAUAUUUCCUACGAAUGGUUAUGAUUAAUUUGUUAAAAAUAUCUCAAAUAAAAAUUAACGGUUAUGAUCAAUCUAUUAAAUUUCUACUACAUAUAAAAAUCUAUUCCCUAUAAAUGGUUAUGAUCAAUUUGUUAAAAAAAUAUCUCAAAUAAGAACAGUGAUAAUCAAUCUAUUAAAAAUAGCAUUCGCAUCCAUCUAUAAAUUCAAUCCUAUGAACGAUUAUAAUCAAUUUGUUAAAAAAUAUCUCAAAUAAAAAACAAACAGUUAUGAUCAAUUUGUUAAAAAAUAGCAUUCGUAUCCAUCUAUAAAUUCAAUCCUAUAAACGAUUAUAAUCAAAUUGUUAAAAAAUAUCUCAAAUUAAAACAAACAGUUAUGAUCAAUCUAUUAAAUUUCUACUACAUAUAAAAAUCUAUUCCCUAUAAAUGGUUAUGAUCAAUUUGUUAAAAAAAUAUCUCAAAUAAAAACAGUUAUAAUCAAUCUAUUAAAAAUAGCAUUCGCAUCCAUCUAUAAAUUCAAUCCUAUAAACGAUUAUAAUCAAAUUGUUAAAAAAUAUCUCAAAUUAAAACAAACAGUUAUGAUCAAUUUGUUAAAAAAUAGCAUUUCUAUUAAUCUAUUUUAUAUUGAAAUUAAAAUUUGAGUUUAAAUUAUGAAUUAAAUUUAACUUUUGAUAUCAAAUUUGAAUUAAUAAUUAAUUUUUUUUAUUACAGUGGAUCAAAAUUAAAUUUUAAAUUUUAAAUUAAAUGUGAAUUAAAUUUUGAUACUUUUAGUUUAAAAUACAUAUUAAAAUUUGAUUCAUCAAAAAUUAAAUAGUAUAUAAAAAUGUUCGAUGUAUAUUAAUAAAAGAACACAGUAGGAUAUUAUAAAUAUUUUCUAAUAAAAUAUAACACAUUAAUUUAUAAAUAUAAUUUUUAUUGUGAAAUUUUGAAUAUAUAUAAUGUACAAAUUUAUAUUAAAUUUUAAUAAAUUAUAAUAAUUGUUACGUGUAUUUGCACGUAAAUUCAACUAGUAUAUAUAUAUAUAUAUAUUAUAAAUAUCAUAUUAUAUAUAUUAUAUAUAUAUAUAGUAGUUAUAUAUAUAUACUUAUAGAGUGCGAGGCCUCACCUAAAGAUUUGGCCAUCGGCAGGACGGAGGCGCUUCCGGGCUCCCAGCUCGUUUUCGAUUGUUCGUACUUCGAAUCGUCGAUCGAGCCUCCAGUUAAACUUGAUCAGAGUAUUUAAAGUACCGUAGAAAAUAAUAAUUUUAUGAUUGUAACGAUAUCAUUUGCCUUAGCUGAAAAACAAAGGCUCAAAAUCAACGGGCUGAAAUAAAAAAUGUGUGACAAAAUGUAAUAAUAUGAACAUUAAAAUUUAAAUCAAGAGUAUUGAUCCUUGUUUUAUAUAGUAAUAAAAGAAUUUUCUAAUCAAAUUCACUGUGAUUUGGAUAUUUCUAAGGAGAGCAGCCGCUAAACUGCAAACAGGCUCCACACGAGCCAUUAAAAAUUUGUUGAUUUGAACGCCGCAUGUGAUCACUAGAGGAGUAAAAAAAAAAAAUGAUAUCCCGAAAAAUAUAAAAUUUAUUUCUAGUACCUCGGGCGGAUCCAAUCACUCUAGAUCAAGUUAACCGAAGCGACGAGCGAUUCGAAAGUCGCACAUGGAAGAACGAGCUGGAAGCACGAAGCUCUGGCUUCGAUAAGCAAGUGUUAAGCCUCACUCCACGGUUAUAUAUAUAGUAUAUCUAUUAUAUAUAGGACCGGUUGGGUACUACGGUGAGCACCAAAGGGAUUUGGUGGCUAACUCGGAGUUUUUCACCGGUAGAUUUAACGCUUCGAUUAUUUUUAUCCGUAAUUAUAUUAUUUAACGCAAACCUCACUUAACCUAGAGGGCCGCAAUAUUAUUAUAUACCAUGCCAUAUUUUCAAUCUAAAGAAUAAAAAAUCAAUACACCAAUAUUAUAUAUAUUCAGAGCUAUAUAUAUAUAGUAUAGUAUUAUUAUAUAUAUACUAAAUAUAUUAUAUAUAGAGUAUAUAUUUAAAUGGGAAAAGGGGUGUCGCGCAUUGCUGCGUCGGGAAUGCCGGACCACAAACGUCCGCAAAUGGACACGCGUAUGUCUAAUACGAAUAUGUGAGAGAUUUAUAGCUGCCUUUGUAAUACAUCGGCGAGAAAUAAAAAUAAAAUUAUAAGCCUUAAAAUUAGAAGGCCUAUAAUACUACACCACGUGCACAUCCAGGCUUUCUUGGUGCAAUUAAUUAAUUAAUUAAUUAUUAUCUCUCAUUGUACCAACAAAAAUUAAUUGCUUAAAAACUUUUCUCCGCAAUUUAUGCAUAAAAAACAGCUUCAAAUCCCAAAGCUCAAUCGGAUAGGCUAUGCAGGUUUGAAUUUAUUACAUAGGCAUUGGACACAAUACAUGUAAUGCUAUAGGAUAACAAAUAACAAAGUAGAUUAUAAAUUUGGAUUAUGAUUAUAAUAGUUUUAAUUAUUUUAUAAACAAGCGUAAUUUAAGAGAUUUUGCUAUGAUUAUGGGUCAAUUAGGGAUAAAGUGAAAACCAAUACAAAGAUAGGAUCAUAGGCUGGAAGAGUAGUUCCUAAGUAAUCCUAGAUCCAUAAAGUAUUAUUAGAUUUUUUUUUUUUUUUGUGGCUAAAUUAGACUUGUAGUCCCCAACCUAUGGACGUACGACACUUUAGUACUUAAACUUUAAUUUGUAAUAAUAAUGUCUAACUUAAAUUUUUUAGAAUGUUAGAGUCAAGUCCUAUAUGUUAAUUUAUGUUGCCUACACGAUGGUGUGUCAUUAAUGUCGCAAUGAUGUGACAGUAUUAUGAUUGAAGCAGCAGCAAUGUUGAGAUAUCAUAUCACUAUCAUAUCAGCAAAAUAUUAAUAUUUAGUCAGAUAAUUAAUGGGCCGGUGAAAUUUAAUUGCAACAAUCUUGAAAGUUCGAAUAAAAAAUUUCAACAAAUUAGAGUUUAUUAUACCAAGAUGUCACCCGCCUUAUAGUUUGAGGAUCAAAAGUGUGAUUUAGCCUCUUUUAUUUAACUGUGUUUCACUUAAGAGAGUUUAGUUCUAGUGGGGAAAUUGUAGUUGAAGAAAGCCUUUUUGAUUGUGUGAGGGCAAACAUAUUGUCGCUACAUUGAUUUAGAUCGUUUUUACUCUGACAAUCGAAAAAAUGGGCUACCAAUAUAAACUUUUAGGGUUGUCUCUAGGAAUAUAAAUGGAUAUGAAUAUAUGAGAUUUUAUCCGAACUUGAACAUGAAUGGGGUAGGGUUAAACUAUGCUAAACGGCAAUGGUUCUGGUCAUGUGCAUGAAAAACAAAAGCCUAAUACAUUCAGGUUCGGUUAUGGUUUUUGUUUGUAUGUGAACUCUACUCCAGACUUAAAUCCUUAUAAAAACUUAUUAAUUAUACAUAAAAUAUAAUUUUAGAUAUUUAUUUUAACAAUUAAUAUAUGUUCUUUAAUUAAUUUACUAUUUAGUAUAUUAAGUAGUUGCAUUUGGUUUUUCGGCUUUGUGUAUAGAUUUUUAGUUUUUUAUUCGGGUUCAGCGUCAAAAUUGACCCAUUGACAUUCCUAGCUGCUUUCCAAGGUAUUAUUAAUAUUCGAGGUUUGUCGGUGUUAAAGUUGUAUUGCAGGUGCAAUUGUUGCCGCGGGGAUGUUUGAUUCCUUGUAAAACAUGCCCAAAAAGUGUUUUUGGGCUCAAUUUUUUUUUUUUUUCCAAUCAUUUGGUUCUCUAUAAAAUAUAUUUUCACAUAAAAUUAUUUUACAUAUUUGCUUGAAAAGUGGCCUUUUUGUUUUCUGGAAUAAUUUUUUGCUGGAAAACGAAAAGGAAAAAUUACAAUUAUGGAUGAAGGAUGGCUGGCAACUCCCAUAAAACUUUACAGAGCCCGCUAGUUUAUAUGUGUGCUCGGUUUUUUUCCCGAGUCUUGUAAAGGGCCAAUUAGACCAACUAUAUUAAUUGAUUAACAAUUAACAAUUACAUACACGACCAUAUUGAAUGCUAAAAGUUAUAGUAAUUAAGUUGGGAUUAUUUGAGUGUUACAGACUCUUUCUGUUUAGAUCUUGACAUCCUCAUCAGGUCCAAACCUUAUUACACAGAUAGAUCAGAGUAUUAGACAAUAUGAGAUUCUAGAGAUACCUCAUGCAAGUUCAAAAGAUGGCUCCCACCAAAUUCGUGAUGUGGUGUGGCAUGUUGUUACUUCUUACACUUCUAACUGGUAUUCGUCUCUGAUACCAAAUGUAACAACUAAGUCCAUUAACACUAGUAACUCUUUGGGCCCAAACUAUCGGCCCAAAAUACUUAAAUCUAAUUAUUAUUAUUAGGGCUCGUGGUCUCUUUAUAUUUCCAAUUGCAAUUCUUGUACCAUCCGAUAUGAGACUAUUGGAGUGUUACGGAUGAAGUGCUCUGAUCCACCAUCCUACUUUAACAGAGAAUUGCAGAAUUAGAAAAUAGGAGAGAUUGAGGAGAGAGAAGAGGUUGGGAGAAAAAAAUAAAAGAAAAAAGCACUGCAUAAUUUUCAUUCAUGUCCACUACGAUAUUACAAUUGUUUUUUUUUUUUCUUUUUUUUUUGAGAGAUAGAUAGUAUGCUACCCGCUUCGUUUAUUUCAUUCAGAAAUAAACUUAGCUAGAAAUGUGAAUCAAUUAGGAUUCGAACUUGGGUCUCGGGUACCAACCACCAAGCCCUUUGCUACUUGCUCUAGGGACGGUCAGUUACGAUAUUACAAUUGUUAUUUAUACUUCUUAAGUAAUACAUUGUACUAAAAAUAAAAAAUAAAAAAUUGUGGACUAAGCUGCAAAAGUAAAUAAACAUAGUAAAUUGGGCCUGUUGGGGCAAUUUCGGAGAGACUUUGGACUUCCUUUGGACUUUGUUCCCUUUAAAAGCCCCUAAGAUGAGACCUACCAAUCAAAAAUGUUGGAAGAGGUUUCUAGAAACUGCAGAUGCACUAUUUCAUGUCCUAGUGGUGAAUUUUGAAAACUUGCUGGCCUUUCUAGCAAAUUUCAAUACUUCAAGUGUAGUCUCCCUACAGCCCCCCCUUCCUAGAGUUGUCUUGCCGCUCAUCAGCAGCGAGAUCAGUUUGAAACAUUCGUAUUGAAAGGCUCAGAUUGAUUUUGCUGCUGAUGAGCAGCUAAAUCAUUAAGUAUUCUAGAAAAAUUCUGCGCACUGAACUACCGGAAACUCGUGCCAGCCACAACCCAAACAUGUCCCAACGGAUGAUGAACAUGUGAAUCAAACGUAAAACCCUCAUAGCGAGAGCUUGAAUUAAUGAACUACAUGGUGCUGCAGAAAAGUACUUGCGAAAGCGGAUGCAAACCUCAUUUUCAUCACAAACAGCGUAAGAAAUGUGUGUGUUUUCAAGAAAAAGAGUCUAAACGAGCAGUUCACAUUCCAUGAUCAGCAAAUCAUAUAUUCCAUCUGCACCAAAAUAAAAUACAAAAGAAUCAUUGCCAACACCAAUUGACACCCCUACAAUCACUAAACAAGUAGUUCUAGUUCCCAUCUAUAACGAGUUUUACCAAAAUCCUCAACUAAAGCAACAAUGGUGAAUAAUUUAGCGGGCUCGCAAGUUAUCAGCACACCCUUAACAAGGACGAGUUAGAGCCAUCCGGGAAUGCCCGUCGGAGAAUGGCAUAGAAGUGAAUUUCAAGUAAAAGAACAUUUUCAACCUAAUCUGAGUUCCUGAUAGUAGGAAUGGUUGCCUCAGUUGCUUCAAGAAAUUGGAAAAGAAACUAACAUAAUCAUACAAUGCUAAAUGUCCGAGUUCAUAUGGGUAUUGUAAAGAAUAUGUUAAGACACUUCAACUGGGGAUUAACAACAAGGCUUUUUGAUUUUGAAUUCGACAAGAGAAAGCUAUACAUCUAUAAUUCACGAUAAAAGCGGCAUACGAGCAAUCAGAAAUCAGUUAUCCAUACUUAGGAAUGAUGUAGAGAGCAGAUAUAUAUCUCAUCAAAAUUCAAACAUAUAUAUAGGAGCGAAAGCAAGGUCUCGAAACCAGUUACAACUCCAUUAGAUAAAGGAUUAUGUAAGGUGAGAGUUUUCGACAUCAAGCCUAUGACUAAUACAAGUUAAAGAACUACUUCAGAGAACUACCAAGCACACAUAAAAAAGUUGCUCUUCCUCACUACUACUUAGCGCGAAGUUCCCAUACCGAGCGACAAUUUCAGAAGAAUGCCCUGCUGCCGUAAAAGACUUUCGGACCGGUCCCCUUCGACGGCGCCACCUGCUUCUCGGAGCUCGACUCGCCAUUCUCACUAUUGGGACCGCUUUUGUUCUCAGUAUCCAUCGGAAGUUUCAUCUUCGCGAGAGACUCGGUGAACUGCUGCAUGCUCUUCAUGUACAUAUCGACGAUGUCUUGCUGCACGACCGUCUCCUCCGGUUCGAUGUUUAUACUAACUAUCGGCUUUACAACGGAAUCCGACGACGGCGACUUCCCGAUAGGAGAAGAUUCGGCCUGCCCUUCGGUAGCUUCUUGAACUUUCUCUUUCUCGCUCGGAGGAUCUGCAGACUGAGGAGUCGAAGGGGGAACCACAGGAGAGUCCGUAGUCGUGACGCUGCUCAAAGGAGUCUCGUUCCGGAAAGCCGAAACGGAAUCGACGCUGUUCUGGCGGAGCGGCAGGCGAGGCGGCGGCCGAGGAGGGAGGCGACGCUUUAGACCUACGAGUCGGCGCAGUUCUUGAUGGAGGUCCUGGUCGAGGAGCCGAAGCGGGAGUAGGGAGAGCGGCUGCAGGACUGGCGGCGGCGGCCGUUUAAUCAGCGGCGGCUUAAGGGGGAGAGGAGGAGGCUGGAGAAGGUGAGAGGGCGGCCGAAGCAAGUCGAGAGCGAGAGAAUGCAGCCGAGCGGGGGGCUUCAGUACGGCUAAAGCGGCGGGGGCGGGGACGGGGACGGGGGAGUAAGUCUUUGGCUGUUAAUAUAUGGGACGCUCAUGCUCUUCCAGCUCAAGGGGCUGGACUUGCAACACUUCCUCUUGUUGUAGUACCACAGCCUCAUGAAGCCGUAGCUAUACCUAUGGCGCGUUUCGCGCCUCUCGAAUGAGUGGCGUCUCUUACCUUUGACGGGGCUAGCGCUUCGACCCCGAGCGCAGCAGCUCUCGAAGAGCUGGCNAGAGGGCGGCGGCGGGGGAGUCGGCGGUGAGCGAGAGCUUGGCGUAGACGUCCUGCUUGUGGUAGAUGCAGAUGUUGUGGAUGUCGCGCGCCUGGUGCACGAACACGUCGAGGUAGCCCAUGAGCUCCCCUCCUCCUCCUCCUCCUCCUCCUCCUCCUCCUCCUUCCUCCGAGGGCUUGUCGAUUGAUAUGGGCUCUUGGUUCAGCUCCUCCUCGUCGUUGUUGGCUUUUGGCUCGGGAUUGAGCUUCUUCUCUGGCUCGGCCAUGGCGAAGGGGACUAAGAAAAGUUGGAAGAAGGAGGAGGAGGAUAAAUAUAGAAGCAAAAACAACCAGAAAAGUAAGAAUCCCUAGGCUCCAAACUGUGAGAACGCAAAAACGCAGAAGCCAAAACCCAAAUUUGUCACCUUUAGAAAAGAAUCUAAAGCCAAAACAGAUUUUUUUUUUGUUUGGCUUUUUCUAUCCAAGCCCUAAAACAAGGAACGAGUGGAAAUGGUGAGUGAACCAAUUACGCUAAACACGGAAGCAAAACAACCACAAAGAAACCCAGAAGCCAAAAUCCAAUUUUGAUACCUUAGAAGAGAGUCUGAAACCAAGAGCUUGCACAAAAACAAGAGUGUCUUUUCGGUCCAAACCCUACACAAAAAGAGAGGCAGAGACGCAACCUGCUAGUUAUAAUUAAACUGAUCUGAAGAACACACCCUUUCUCUCUCUGUCUCUCUCUCUCUCUCUCUCUCUUUCUCAGAGCAGAGAGAGAGAAAUAAUAAUAAUAGUGAAAUACAAAAAAGGGUUUGAGAAAAAGACCAAACACAGGGAACAAAGGUACUAAAAAACGUUUUUUUUAAAAAAAAACGAUGGGGAUUGAUGAAAAGUUGAAUUGGGUCGUUUGCCUUUUACCACAUGUCAAGGAUUUUCCAGCAAAAAUGUGUUUUUUAAGUGUAAAAAAAGUUAGUAAUUUGUGGAAAUUUGAGCUCAAUUUAGGGGGGGAGGCAACGCGUGACCCGAAAGACCAAUCACGACGCUUAACUUAUUACAAAGAAUAUCUAAAAAGCGGUCACUUUUCAUUGUCAGGAGGAAUAACCCGGAAAGGAGGAGGCCGUGACUUUUCUGAGUGGGGUCUGAACAUUUCGCAGAGUGCAAACUUUUUUCUGUAGAUUAUCUCUGUUCAACUUUGCAGAUUUCUUCUUUUUUUUCUUGUUAAUGUGUAUUCUUUUUAGUGGACUAAUUUCUGUGGGCCAAGUAGGGUGAUCCAGAAAUAGUCCCAUAGUGAGUGGCUAAGGCUACUACUAAGUGGUACCAUAAUUUUUUUUUUUUUUUAACAAAAACUGAAUUAUACCGCCGUCCCUGUCCCUAGACCAAGUGACAAAGGGCUUGGAGGUUGAUACUCGAAACCCAAGUUCGAAUCCUAGUUGAUUCACAUUUCCAGUUAAGUUUAUUUCUGUUAGGAGUCGAAAAUCUCCGAUCCUCGACCGGAUCAAAGGUCCUUCUCGGAGAGCGUGUUGGGGUGAAAAUAGCUUCGGAUAAUGACCCUCGAAGUUUGCGCCCUUCGAUUGAUCAAACGAUUAGGCUGAUAAGAGAUCGGAUUAGCCGGGUUCGAAACCUCUACUGUAGAAUCGGUUCGGCUGGAUGAGCCGAAUGUAUAGAAUGUACAGAAACUAGAGUCGGCUGAAGAAUGGAUAAAAACACAAAGUGUGGUCGGCUGAAAGAGCCGAAUACCUUUAUAUAUUAAUAAAACAGAGUGUGCCCGAAGGGCAUACAGACUCUGAAAAUAUAGUUUACAACAGAAUGUGCCCGUGGGGCAUACAGACUCUAGAGAUCUAUCUUAAAAACUGCUCCUAGGAAAGCAGUAAAUGCAGAAAAGGAAAUAAAAAAUAAAAUAAAAUAAAUAUUGAAUGGACCCAUGAUCAUGCACUAAUACUGAAACCAACAUUAAGUCAAAUUGUACCAUAGAGUGAAUAGAUUUCUAUUCUAUUUAGGGGAGAAUAUUGACAAUAGCAGUUGCAUUUUGUUUUUUUAUGGGUAGAUUACGUAAUUAGUCCCCAAACUUCUCGCCACGUUUCAUUUUGGUAUUAAGCUUUCAAGUUCCACAUUAGUGGUCCUAAAUUCUGUAUUUAUAUUUAUAGGCCCUGUUUGGUUCGGGGAUAAGCAGGGAUAACGAAAGUUAUCCCCGCUAUUCCACCAAACGGUGUGAUAUUUUACAGGGAUAUUUUUUCCUAAUCAAAUCUUGCUAUUCCCGAUUAUCCCCAAAUAGCAAGGAAUUUACUAUUCCACCAUUUUGGUGGAAUAGUGCUAUUCCAAUUAUUAAUUUCAAACUUAAUUAAAAUUAUAAAUUGAAUUAAAACUAAAUUAUAUAAAUAUAAUAUGUUAUAUAUUAUAAUAUAUUAUUUUUAUUAUAAAAUUAUUAAUUGUACUAUAUUAAUACAUAUUAUUUAUAUUUAAAUAUUAUUAAUAAAUUAUAAUUAAAUAUUAUAAUAAAUCUUUUUAAUUAAAUUUAAGUUUAAGUAGAAUUUAAAAAAGAAUUUAUAAAUUUAUUAUAAUAAAUUUUUUAUUAAUUUUUUCCACUCCUAUUCUUAUUUUAAAAUUUUAAAAAUUAAAAUUUUGAAUUUUUCNUCAAAUUUAAAUUUGAUCUUAAAUUUAAAGUUUGAAAUUUAAAAUUUAAAAUUUAAAAUUUAAAAUUUUAGAUUUUAAAAUUUAAAUUUUAAUUUCAAAUUUUGAAAUUUAAAAUUUAAAUUUUAAAUUUAAAAAUAUAAAUUUUAAAAUUUUAAAAUUUAAAUUCAAAUAUAACAAGAAGGUAAUAUCAUUAUUUUUACUUAUAAAAUCCUCCAUCCUUCUUAUUCUAUCUUACCUAACCAAACGCUAUUUUUUUUAUUCUCAAGAAUAACCCAAUUUUUAUCCAAAAGUAAAAUUAAACUAAUUUUCGUUUAUAUCUUAAUUUAUGUCUAUUCCUGAAAUAGCCAUCUUUUAUUUAUUUUCGAACCAAACGAUACCAUAGUGGAUAAAAAUUAUUGCCUACCUCUAAUGUACGCAUGCAUUUACUGACUACUUUUUUCAUCUCAUAGUUGAUUCUAUCGCCCACUGAGUUAUCAAUUUUUUUAUAUACGAAACCCAAACCUCUGACUCAAAAGUUUAAGACGGUUGAAUAAUUAAUGGCCACGUGAUGUACAAACAAACAAACAAAACUAUGAACUUGUAAUAAUGUGUACUCUGCAGAAUGGAAUAAAAUGAAAUACUAACGAAAGCUUACUAACUGUAUUAAAAUUGUUGGGUUAGUGAUAUCAAAUUCACUUGUUAACCUAAUUAGUUUAUUUUGAAUUUGGUUCAACAACUCAUGUAAUGAGCUAGUUAGUAAUUGAUUUGAAUUUUAGUUGAGUUAUUUAGCAUAUUGAGCCAAAUAAUGUUAAGAGAUAUUCUCUUUGGGUUUAAAAAAUGAGAGUUCUCAUUUUUACUCUUGAGGGUUCUCUUUUCUUGAGAUAGAGAUGAGAGGUGUAGAGAGGGUUGGAGAAGGAGCUCUCUUAUUCUUCUUGCUUGAUUCAAAGCUUCCAAGGUUGAUUAGAAAAAUUUUAAGAGGCAUUUCGAAGCAGGUUUCGCGAAUUCGGAAAGUGUUUAGAUGAAAGUGUAGCAAGCAGAGUUUUUUCCUAAUUAGAAGGUUGCAAGCUCCAUUGUAGUAGAGUGGUAAUAUCUAACCAAAUCUUGUAAUCUUCUUAUUUGAUAGUGGAUUUGAUCUUUCCGUGUCCGUGGAUAUAGUCCGAUUUGGAUGAACCACGUAAAUCCUCUUGUGUUGUUUGUGAUUGUACUUAGAUAUUUUUCUUUCAACUUCAUUUACUCCAAUCUUGCAUAUCUUGGUUGUGGAUGAUUUAGAUACAUCACAUUUGUUUAUUAGUAUGAUUAGUAUUUUGAUAGUGAGGGUUCCGUUAUUAGCUCACUACAAAAAUCUUAUUUAAAAGUUUAGAGUCCUAAAUGUUAAAAUUAAAAGUAUGAUGACCAAAAUUAAAGUUGGUUCGAAAGUUCAGGGACCAGUAGUGCAAUUUACCCAUUGUUCUUAGUUUAUUCCUUUUCUAGCUAGGAGAGUGAUGCUAUGAUUUGUGGAUUAUAACAAAUAGAGAAAAUUUUACAAAUAAAAACUAGUUAGUGAUUUGACAUUUAAAAAUUUAAAACAUUAAUUAUAACUAAGAUGGGCAUCAACUCUAAGGCUAUGGUUUGAAUAUAGAGUAAGGAUAGUAAUAAAUAAGAUAAAUUGCACGUUUGGUCCUCAAACUGUGGGAUAGGUGAGACUUUUGUCCUUAAACUUCAAUUUGUUAUGCUUUCUAAUUUAAAUUUUUAGAAUUAUUGCAAUCAAGUCUUGCAAUUCAAUUUAAUUGACAAAAUUUUAUUAUACUGCUGAUGUAAAUAUGAUGUAAUAUUUUAAUUAUUAACGCAUCUUUAAUUACAAUAUUAUUAUAUCACCUUCGCAUUAACGAUAUAUCAAUAUUUAGUCAAUUAAAUUAGCUUAUCGGCCUUGAUUACAAUAAUUCUGAAAGUUUGAGCCAAAACUUAUUAAAAAUUAAAGUUUGAGAACCAAAGAGGCACUUGCCUCGUAGCUUGAGUACCAAAUGCGUGCAAUUUACCCUAAUAAAUAUUUACACUAUGAUAGCAUGCUACUCUUCAUUAAAAUUAGAAAAAACUUCAAAUACUACUCAUGUGGUUUCGUACUUUUUUAUUUUAGUACUCUGUAAUUUAAAGUGUAUCAAUUUAAUAUCCCAUGGUUUUACUUUUCUCUUUUUAUUAUCUCCUCCACUAUUUUUUUCGUUAAAUCUAUGACAAAGUUAAAAUUAAAAGGUAGUAAAAUGAAUCUAGGUGGAGUAUCAAUAAAUCUAGGCGGAGUAUCUGAAGUUUUUUGUAUAUAAUUUAACGAAAUGUUAACAGUGGAGCUGACGAAAAAAGAAAAAUGAAACCGCGGGAUACCAAAUUAUUACACUUUAAAUCACAAGGUACUAAAGUGAGAAAGUGUGAAACUACAGAGGUGGUAUCUGAAAUUUACCCUUAAGGGUGCGUUUGGUUCGCGCUAUCUUUUAAAGAUUCCUAGUAAUCCAAUGAGAAUAAAAAAAAUAUGACGGUGUUUAGCUAAAUCUAGUUGGUAAUAUGGGAUUCACUUGGGAAUAAAAUUCAUCCCAAAGUACUAAUCUCAUUCCCUUGAGGGAUGGUGGGUAUUCUCAUAUUAAUGGAUUAGGGUAAUCAUAAUAUGUCUAAUCUCUUUCUUUCUUCCUACCUGCCGGCUAAUUGAUAUUAUUUUUCUUUACACUCUAACCUUAUAUCUCUUUCUAAACUUAUUUUUCUCUCUAAAAUUCAACCUUUUUUUUUCUCUCUAAACUAAGCUUUCUCUCUCUCUCACUUUCUAAAAUUUCAACUCUAUCACUCCCUCUAAUUUCGACUAUAUUUUUCUUUCUAUUUUUUUAAUUAUGCUCUCUCUCUAACUUAUACUCUCUCUCCCUUUUUUCUAAAAAGAUGUUGAAACUUUUGAUAACAUUAUUUAAAAUUAAAUAAAUAAAUUAAUUAAUUAAUUAUAUAUUUUUUGUAAUAUUAAAUAACAUGGCUAAUUAAUAUUACCGUGCGAACCAAAUACAGGAAUUCUACAUUCUUAGUAAUAGGAUGAAUAGAAAUAAGAUUCUCGGAUAUCUUUUAUUCCUAAUAAUUUUUCAUAAUACGAACCAAACGCACCCAAAGGGGGAAGAUAUAUACCCGCACAAAAUCUAUUCCUAGAGGCAGCAAUUCCAAACCAGAUAUUAAAAUUGUGCUCUCUUCAUGACUUAUCCUUUACCCAAACUAAUUCAAAUUAUUUGUCAAUAAACAAAAUGAUGAUGACAACCAGAAGAACUCAAAUCCUCAUUAAAAUCAUGUUUCAUUUCCUCGAUGAUGUGCCGAGAAGUACAAGUACCAAAUUUAAGAAAAUAAGGUAUCUAAAUAUAUAUAAGAGUUACUGUUGUAGUCGUAUGAACACAAUAUAAAGAUAAGGACAUAAAUACCCUAAAAAUAUUUUAUAUUUUCUUGAUGAUGCGUCAAGAAGUACAACUUUGAAAUUUUAAAAAAUAAAGCCUCUAAAUUUGACUUUUCCCAUGUAGCCUAACAAACACAAGAAAAGAUAAGGCGAUACAUACCUAAGCCAAACUUUGUCUAAAGGUUCAAAAAGAUGAAGCUAUCACAUAUAUACAAAACUGAUAUACUAAUUAUAUUUUAUAAAAUAUUUUGCGAUAGAAAAAUGCUAUUAUAGUGUUAUAUAUAUAUAUAUAUAUAUAUAUAUAUAUAUAUAUAUAUAUAUAUAUACUAGUCCUUGGUAUAUUGAGUUUUCGGCCGUUGGAUGAAAGAAUGUGCGGUUAGAAUGAUAGUGGUUCCCGGAUUAAAUUGAUAGUGGUCCCUAAGUUGAGUAAUGAUUAGUUUAAUAGUAUAAUCUAACGGGUGAAAAUGAUCAAAGGGUAGAUCUAACGGUUGAAAACUCAAUAGUACCAAGGGCUUAAUAUAUCGAUAGUAUAGUAGCCGACUCAUAUAGAAAUUAUAUAUUAUAUAUAUUAUAUAUAUAUAUAUAUAGAGAGAGGAGAGAGAGAGAAGAGAGAGAGAGAAGGGAGAGAGAGAGAGUUGGACUGGGCUAACUAUUAGUAGCAAAAUCUCAUUAUUGCUACCGUUGUUAGCCUUUGGGUCAACACUUUUCAUUAUUUGUAACUAUGGAUAAUUACUAUAACCCAGUGGGGACCACUUAACCUACGGGGACACAUCAACUCUAACCGACUAAUAUCAUCCUAACCUACAAAUUUUCAUCCAAGGGUUAAAAAUUAAUAGCAAAAGAGCGUUUUACUAUUAAUAGUAUUCAGCCUAAUUAAAUAUAUAUAUAUAUAUAUAUAUAUAUAUACUAAAUAUAUAUAUAUAUAUAUAUAUAUAUAUAUAUAUAUUAUAUAUAUGCUAGAGCUACUAUCCUAUUAAUAGGAUAGGAGCACUUGUCCUAUCAAAUUAUCUUGAUGAUCGAGAUUCCAAAUCGAUGAUCAGAGCCGUUGAAGUUGAUGUAGAAGUAUUGAAAUAUUUAGAAACUAAAUUUCAUAAAUUUUAAAAUUAUUUAUAUGGUGAUCAAAGUGUUAUAAAAUCGACAUUUUUGACGGCCUAUAUGAGCCAUUUGCUUGUUUAACGUGUAGAGCAACCAAAUUAUUUGAAUUUUUGAUAGAAAAUUCUUUGUACUAUUUAGAUAAUGUUUGAUAACUCUGAUUAUGAAUUGAGAAAGUCUAACCUCUAUUUUAAGAAAGUUAUUCAUUUAUGACCGUUCAUAUUUUAACUCUUAAGAUAAACUUGAUAAUGAUUUUUAAAUAUUACAAAAUUUGGUUUCUAAAUAUUUCUAAUUGUGUAGAUCAAUUUCAACGGUGUCGAUUAUCAAUUUGAGUUCCGUAUCAAUCAAAACGAUUUCAAUUUGAAGUUCCGAUUCAAUCAAAACGACUUGAUAGACAAUAGCUCCAAUCCUAUUAAUAGGAUAAUAGCCAGUUAUAUAUAAUAUAUGUAAAUAUAUAUAUAUAUAUAUAUAUAUAUAUAUAUAUAUAUAUAUAUAUAUUUAUGAUACUGUUAAUGUUUUUUUUUCCGCUACUAUAAUUAUCAUUAUAUUUAUAAAUUAAAUCAGAAUUCUGGCAAGUUAUGUUAGCCAUCCGAUUAAAAUUCUUAGUGCUACUAUAUAAGCAAAUUAUCAUAAAAUAGAAAAAAAAAGAUAUAGCUUCUUUUCUUUCUUUUUUUCUCGAUCACAAGGAUAAAUAAUUGCGCCACCAUCUACUAGUCCUAACUCCUUCAAUUAAGGAGAGUGACAUUGAUUUAUGUGCCACGUGUUACAAUGCUAGCUUAAAUUUGCAAGUACUAAUUAGAUCCGAUGCAUGCAUAAGUGUAGUUUGACAUAGUGACUGUGUUUCGAUUACGAUCUAGGUAAGCACAUACAUCAUCAGAUCAGGAAAACAUCGCCUUCUUCCGGAUAGUGUGAAGAAGAUUGGAGAAUUCAUAUGCAUAAAGCAUAAGGUUGACCCACAAUAUGUCGCAUGUGGUAGAUCUAGAAGCCUCUCAAUUGUAUUUUUUUUAUUCAAUAAUGCAUGGUGCAUCCACGUGUAGCAACUUUGUUCAGUGCAUUGAGUAUAAAAUAAUAUAAAAGUACUAUCCAAUUGAAAUUUUGAAAUGGCAGGCUUUACUUAUUUGGACCAUAUUUUUUUUUUCUUCUGUGAGACUACGACAAGAAUUAUAAGAAAUCUCAAAUUCUUGUGGCUUCGUUUUGAAUGGGCAUGCGGAUUGAAGGAUAACGGGGAUAAGUCGGAUCUCUUUUACACUGGAUUGGUAGAAGGAAAAACGGCUAGACUUGCAAAUAUCCUUGAGUGUCGGGUAGGCAUUCUACCUACCAAAUAUCUAGGACUGCCUCUCUCUGUCAGACCCCCUUCAAAAGAGGGCUGGAAUGAAAUCAUUCUUAGAGUACAAAAAAAAAUUAACAGAUGGUAAGCGAAACUUCUAUCACGAGGGGAUAGACUGAUUCUGACGAAUGCGGUGCUUACUAACCUAUUCCUGUACUUUUUGUCAUUGUUCAAGGCUCCCAAAUGGGUGCUCGCGCGUAUUGAGGCUUUACGUAGAGAUUUUUCUGGAAUGGAGGAAGCAACCGCCCAGGCAAGGGAUGCCUGAUAGCGUAGAAGAAGAUGUGUAGGAGUAAGAAAAAAGGAGGGCUCGGCAUCUUAGACUUAGCCUUGAUGAAUCGAACUCUCCUAACUAAAUGGUGGUGGAAAUUUCAUACGACGCCACAACUAUUGUGGAACAAACUUAUCCAUGCCUUGUAUUAUUGUAGAAUAAGACAUUUCAAGGUGGGUAGAUCGUUUAAACCCUUCUCUUUUUGGUGGAAGGGAGUUUUAUGCCAGAAUGAGAUCUUUACUUGGGGAAUAACCUAAGGUGGGGAAUGAGAGUAAUGUCGAUUUUUGGUCAGACUGUUGGUGUGGGGAUUUUGCUUUGCAGGUGUCAUUCCCUCAAGUGUACGCUUUGUCCACUCGCAAAAACUUGAAAAUCCAUCAAUGUCUGGGGAGCGACGAAUGGAAUUGGAGUAAGAUAGUAGGUCACAACAAUGUCUCUGGAUAUGGCCUGUGCCCUAGUUUUUCCGCCCUUGUAGAGAGCCUAUCCAUAUUCAGACCUAAGCAAAGACUUGACAGUGUUAUUUGGCGGUGGAGCCCAGACAAAGUGAUGAGUUUAAUUAAGAGAUAUCGGAAUAAGAUAUACUUUGAUAUCUUAACUAGUAUAAAAAUAUUCUUAUGCGAUUAAAAGCAAUGAGUUUAAUUUUUUUUUGAAAGAUUUUGAUGUUCAUGAUUUGAUAGAAUAAUAGAUUUCGCAUAUGAAGUUUUUUUUUUCAGAUGAAAUGACUAGACAGUCGAAUAUGUUGUCCGUUCAAAAUAUUUGAUCAUACUUCUUAUUUAUUAAAUACUUUAAGUUGCUUGAAUAAACUGAAAUGAUUUAUCUAAUAAAAUAUUUAUGUAUCCUAAUAGAUCCUUAGUUAGAGUAGUCAAUUGUUUAAGAUGGGUCUUAGAGCAAUUCAAGUACACUUGCUUGUGUUGGGCCUACAAUGAAAUUUUCAAACACAGAACAGAAGUAUUAAGCAUAAAAUGUUGAGAGUUCGGCUGGGAUACUAUCGAUAACAUGAAACAUUUGGUGCUAUUAAGUUUUCUGCCGUUAGAUUUAUCUUUUUUAUCAUUUUCAUCCGUUCGAUUAUACUAUUUAACCAACCACACACUCAACCCUAGAGAGUCCACAUCAUCCUAACCGCACAUCUUUUAAUCCAAGGGCAGAAAAUUUAAUAGUACCAAGUCAUUAAUGCUAUUAAUAGUAUUCCAGCUUAGUUCAAAUGUUGAAGUAUCAUACUAAUUAAGCUUAAGUAUUACGACGAGCGCACAAACAAGAACGAGAGAUGACGAUCGUGAAGUAGACAAACCACAUAACAGUAUAAAAAGAACACAAAAAUUUACAUGAAAAAUUCUUUGCAGAGAAAAAACCACAGGCGAUGGUGGAAAAAACUUCAUAAUAAGGAAAUACAGUACGCUAUAUCGUGUCUAGGGCAAAAAUAAAAAGAAAAUUUCUUAACGGAUUUCUUUAUUAUCGGCCCGAGUUCUCUGCUACCUAUUACAGACAUCUAUUUUUUUCUUCUUAAAUUCUUUUUCAAAUUUGUCCUACCAUGAAACUAUCGACGAAUCAGGGGCAUGAAGUCUAAGUCGACAACCAAAUUUUGAGGCACAUUACAUUUAAGUUUUACACUAACUAGUUUUAACAUUAAUAAGCAGUUGACUGUUAUUUUCUGUUAGAACAAAAAAACAAAAGAAAAAACAUAUCUUAUCUAGUGAUGUUUGGAUAUAGAUCGAGAGUAGGAGAAGAUGAGCUUUUAAUAAAUAUUUUUUUGUAAUUCUCUUUUCUGUACUUUGGAAGAGAAAAUACAUUAGCCAUUUUAGGGCCGGGUUAUUUUCUCUCUUAUUUUCUUAAUUUAUCUCGAUUUUUUUUUUAGAGUUUCGUUCCUCUUAAUUUUUCUUUUAGUGUCUAUUCGGCUCUAUUUCAAUUUAUAUAAAAUGCAUUAUUUGAGUAGAUUUGUAACCUCUCGCAACAACCGAAAAUUUUCUAAUUUAAUUUGGAAUUAGAAAAAGAAAAGCUAAUAUUUUAGACAUCAAGUUUUAGAGAGAAGAAGAAAUUAAAGCCACCACUCUGGAAGCAAGAGGUGAAAAAUAUGGUAGAAACAAAAGUUUAAAUUUAAGAGUUUACUCUUGCACCCAACAAACAUCACUUCAGUUUCUUACUAUAAAAUCUUCAGAUCUUCUGCUUAUCCAAAGAUAAGCUAGUCCUUCUUUGAAGUAGAAAAUAUAUUCUAAACUGAGCCAAGAGCACACUUUGUGCAUGUUCCACAUCGCUUGUCAAAAAGAUUUUCUAUGUAUGAAGCACAAGUCAAGCAUUUGGCGUAUCGAAAUUUUUAACUUUUGACGAUGGAAGAAAGAUUAACACAAAGCAACGCACAAGGCAGACAACUAGAAGAUUUUGGUUCGGAGUCAUUCUGGGUUUUGGAUUCUCUAGGUUUCAGUUAGUCCGAGUUUAAGAUUGUUGAUUUGGAUUUCAUGCAAGUAUUUCAGGUGUUCGGUCAUUCAAAUUUGAGAUUUGCAAGAUUUCGAACUCCUCAAGAUUCAAAUUGGUGACUUUUUGCGUUGCUCAAUGGUGGCAUUCAGUAAAAUGGAACUUAAGUUCACAUGGGCAAUGUUAUAAGACGUCGACUUCGGAGGCCUUCUCUAGGAAGUGGCUCUUUCGAGCCAUACGACCGCAUUUUCCUGUAGUGUUUGUAUAGCUGAGCAAUCUGAAGUGCACUUUUUACCUACGAUCUGAACACACCGUACUCAAACUUCACCAUAUCUAUAGACAGGGGUAGAGCUAUUGAGUGACCGAGGGGUUCCAUGGUCCCGUCGGGUUUCAAAAAAUUAUAAGGAAGCAUUUUGAGGGUUUUUAAAAAAUUCUAUCAUAUAGAGGUUUUUGCGCAAAGAUACAAUCUAUUUCUGUUCUCCACUAAGAGUUCGUUUAGCAUUAAGGCUCAUCUAAUGCUAAUAGGUAAAAUAAAAUUGGACUGUAUUUUUUAGUGGGAUAAUAGAAAAAUAUUAUAAUCGACUCAUUAUACGCAACCAGAUAUUAUCUACAAAAACAAACAUAAUAUUUUCCUUAUGUACUUUUCUUAUUGCAUAUAACACAACCUCUUCGUAAUUUCAAACAUAGCCUAAAUAGUUUCAUAACUAUUCUCUCUAUCCAUACACAACCUCUUCGUAACUUCAAAUAUAGCCUAAAUAGUUUCAUAACUAUUCUCUCUAUCCAUAGAGUAAAAAUGUACAGAUACCGCCUCAACUAUAGGCCACUCUAAAAGACUUCGUUUUGUCAAAUUUUUAAUCAGUACAUCAAGAAUCCUUAUAAAAGUCUAUGUUUAGUGGGAGUUGGUGAAAUACUAUUGAAUCUAAAAGCUAAAAUGUUGGAAAUAGGCACCAUUCAUGUGCUUUUGAAAGUAAAGCACUAAAGAUGGACCCCCUCUUUAGCUUAACAAUUUUUUAGUUUGAUUUUUUCUAUAGUUAAUUAAGUUAAAAGUUUCAGAUGCUUAAUUAGUUAUUUACAGUUAAAUAAUUUAGUUUUAUUCGCUACAGAGUAGUUUAAAUUAUAAAUUUGAUAAAAUUAUUAAUCAAUUUGGUAAGCUACCUAAUUUAUUCAGUUAAAGUAGCUCAAUUCUAAAAAAAUAAAUAAAUGUUGAGCGGUCUUCAAUAAAAAAAAAUCAUAAAUCAGGAAACAAUUUAGAAUGCUUACAGUUGAGGGGACCUUUAUAGAAAUUUUCUAUUUUGACUAUAUAUAUUAUAACUUUAUGUUAAUUUAAUAAAGUUAAUACAUCUAAAAUAAAAAUCAAUCUAUGUCCCUAGCCUGAUGAUCUUAUUUGGUGCCAAUUUCAGCUUUAAUUUAUAUUGUAAAUAAAAUUCUUUUUUUUCUUUUUUUUUUUUUGAGAGAUAGAUAGCACGCUAUCCGCUUCGUUUAGGAACUUGGGUCUCGGGUACCAACCGUUCCUAGAGCAAGUGGCAAAGGGCUUGGUGGUUGGUACCCGCGACCUAAAUUCGAAUCCUAGUUGAUUCACAUUUUCAACUAAGUUUAUUUCUAAAUGAUAUAAACGAAGCGGGUAGCGUGCUAUCUAUCUUUCAAAAAAUAAAUAAAUAAAUAAAAUAAAAUUCUAUAUUAUCGAAUAUUUUAGUGGACAAUUUUUUUCUUUCAUAUAUUUGUUAGUCAGAUUACAGUAUAUCAUGUCCAGAAUGUGAAAUAUUAUUUAAAAGUUUUAUCGUUAUUGUCGAACAAAAUAUUUAGUAUAAUAUCAUAUCUUGUAAAAAUGAUUAUCAGCUACCAAAAUUAUGUAAAGAUAUGAAAAUAGAUAAAUAAUGUAAUGAAUAUUAUUUUUGGCUUGACAAUAUAGCAAAUUUAAAUAUUAUUUUAAAAUUUAGCUUUUAAUUUUAUGGUUAGCAUGACUAUAAGAUUUUAAUACUAAGGUAACACUAUAUUUCGAGAUUAGGAUGCAUCAAUAAUAAUAAAUCAGUAGUAUAUUAGAAUAGUUAGUACUGAUAUUUUACUAAAGUUUAGUUCCAAUUAAGCUGAGAAUUAGCUCAGUUACCUGAGAUGUUUUGAUUUUGAGCUGAACACGAGCCUGACUCAACCUAUUUUUGUGUGAACUUGACGUUCCAAUCUGAUUAUAUGUUAAAUUAUAUAAAACAAUCAUUAUUCUCCAAAUACUUAAACUAUUAGAAAAUGAUGUUUUUAAUAUUUAUAUCCAAUACAAAUUAAUUUGAUAAACUUGAGAAAAUAACCAGUAGUAGCGAUCCAGUAACGUCUUAAGAUAAAUAAUUUGCCUGAUUGGAUAGAGUCUUAAUUAAUUUCAUUCUUAUACUUAAAUAUGAGAACUCCAAUUAAAAACUGAUCUUCAGGAUUAGAAACUAAUCCAAAUUUGUAUCCGUAUUAAUAGAAGGAGAUAGCUACUUCCAUUGCUGUAAAUUCAAGUCCAGAGACUUUUGAGCUCUUGACUUUUUAAAGACUAGUUUUAUAAAACAUGUUGGAACAUGUUAUUACUAAAUACGAAAAAUUUAAUUUUGAUAAUAUAAGCAAAUCAUGGUUGCAAGUGAAUUAAGUUGCAUCUUAAUUAGUGACUUCGAACUUACAGCUAAUGAAAUCUCGUAACCUAUAAACAAUAUUCACUUUCCUCUAACUCCUCGUAAUUAAAUUUGAAUUAUAUAAGUAAUUAUUUUUGGCUUUUAUAUUUUGUAACCUAUAGGCUUGUGAAGCCUAUAUUUGGAGGGCUUCUUUAUUCGUGCCACAACAAUUUUUACUAUUUCUAUUAUACUUAAAAGAAAGAAAGAGACUAAAGAAAAGCUUUUUUUUUUAGAGUUUUGAGCUCAUCUAUUUAUACAGAGCUGGUGAACACACAUGAUAAGAGUCGAGUUGUUGUAUUCUGGAGGGGACAAGCCAGCGUUCUGCUGCAUCGGUUUGAGGGCAUUGUCAACUGUAGAGGGCUUGAAUAUUAAUUCUUAAAGAGGGCGAAAAUUUCGUGGCUCGGCUUAAUCGAUUUAUCGAUACUUUUUUACAGUCUAACCUCUAUUUUUGUGUAUUUACAUCAACAAAAUAUAAUGAUGAUGUAGAUUUCUCUGCAAAGUUUUUGGAAAAGUUUUCAUCCUGCAGAAAUGAUAUUGCUUGAAGGCCUUCAUAAGAUUGAUUUUGCUACAGACUCUACAAGCCAUCUCUGUAGAUGGUUACAUCAAAUUUGACUUGGUUUAUUCUCUUCUUUGUUUUAGUUUGGUUACCAACAAUCUCCAGAUCGAAUAUAAAUUUAGACCAAGAAUUCGAGCCGUUUUCAAUUCACUCCUUGGAGUGUUCCUUAGAAUCUACUUUGAUUUCAUCUUUUCUUUUCUUUUUUUUCAGUCCCAAUGUUUCCACAUUAGAAGUUUUUACUCCGAUUUUCGCUUCAUCGUUAUAGUUUCUACGAACCAAAGUUUGAUGAUUGUGCUCUCAUAACUGCUUUGGUAGAUUGUAUUGACAAAAUUUGAACUUAAAACUGUGGGAUGAAAUUAAAGCCUGUUAUGACUAAUUCUAGAUUAAUUCCUAUCAAAUUGAUGCUUUGGGUAAUAUUAUAUUAGAAUUAGUGGUAAGUGAAUCUACAAUGACUAAUUGCAUGUGUUGCAGUGUUAAGAUUAAUCCAGGCUAUUUUCUACUAGAUCUCCGAAGACUAAUAAAUCCCGAACUAAUUAAUAUUUCUUAUGUUUAGAGACAACCAAAUUGAAUUGAAGUUGUUGAGAACAGGCUCGAAACCGAAUCUAAGUUGGCCUGUACUACUAUCAAUUAAAUGCUUUCAGAUGAUUAUGGUAGUUGGCUUAGUACAUAUUAAGCUAUUAAAUAAACACUUAGAUGGACAAUUAAGAAAAGGUUACGCGUACUCCCCUGAAACAACCAAUACAAGUCAUGAUUAUACAAAUAAGCAUAUCUAAGAGAAUCGAAUAAACAGCAUAUCAUAAUCGACGCACUAACGGUUUUGCUAUUUUCUUAUGCAAUCCGAAUAUGCUGAAAAGGGGAAGCAAAAGCAAAUGUCAUGAUAAACAGCUUGAAAUUAAGCUGUAGAUUAAGUGGAGCAAGCACCAAAAUGGGCACUAUUAGUAGCAGAAGCUAACUUGGUAGUUGACAGUGUCAGCAGUGUCACAGUACUUGGGUUCAUGAAUAAUUGUCUUAGCUAGUCAUCAACACUCUUCUCCAAUUUAUAUAAAUCCAAUCUACAAUGAUAUUCCAACAAAUUUCCACCUUUAGCCUUUGUUUGCAUGUAUCUGCAUCUUGUUCAGUAUAUAUUUUUAAUUUAUUUAAAAAAGUUGUAGUAUUUGAGAGAUCAGUAGUAUGAAUAAAUAUUCAGACUCGCAUAUCAGAUUCAACUCGUUAGUCAUCUUCACAAAAAUAAAAUAAUUUCCUUGCAGGCAGAAUAGUUUAUAUACUGUAACAAAUUAUAAAUUAUAAAAUCUUUCAAAAAGCACAAAACAAACUUUCAGUUUCCAAUCACCACAAAAAAUCUUCGAACUAAAUAAAUUUUUUUCGAAAAACUUACUCCCGUAUCCAAAUACACUAGAGUUUGUACGAAUGCCAGAACAAGUUACUUUGUGUAACUACUUGCUCCAGGGACGGUCGGUUACUCCGUUCUCAUCUACCUUUCAUCCCAUUCUCAGUACCACACUUCUUUUUUUUUCGAUAUUCUUCAUUAUUCUUAAAAAAAUAAUAAAAAUUAUUUUUGUUAUUCUAGGAAAUAAGAGAAUGUUACAAAUACAAAAUUCUUUUUGUUCCUCUCUAUUUCAUAAUAUCGAGUUAUUUCAAAAAUAAAAAUAUCUAUUCCUUGUGAAACACUAUUCCCUUACCAAAUGCACUCUCAUCAAGGAAAAAUAUAUUAAACUUAUAUUUUUCAAUUACCCAAGAAAAUGUUCAUACCGAAUAACUUAUUACUGAAUCCAGUUACUAUCCUUUCAGGAGGAUGGAGAUCUUCGUUCUAUCAAGUCACUUUUGAAAAUAAAGAUCUCUAAUUGAUGGUCGAAAUCGUUGAAAUUGAUCUAGAGUAUCUGAAGUAUUUACAAAUUAAAAAUUUUAAAAAUUAUUUACAUAAUGAUCAAAGGAUCAUAAAAUCGAUAAUUUUUUAUGGUCUAUAUAAACCGUUUGCCUGUUUAACCGUGUAGAGCAAUCCAAACCACUUGAAUUUUUAGUAGAAAAUUCUUUAUAGUAUUUAGAUAACGUUUGAUAACUUUGAUCAUAAAUUGAAAAAGUCUAACCUUUAUUUUCAGAAGGUUAUUCGUUUAUGCCAUUCAUUUUUCGACUUUUCGAUAGUCUUGAUAAUAAUUUUUAAAAAUUAUAAAAUUCGGUUUCUAAAUAUUCGUAAUAGUGUAAGUUAAUUUCAAAAGUGUCGAUUAUCAAUUUGAAAUUUCGAUCAUCUAAAAUGAUUUAAUAAGAUAAAAACUUAUAUCAUCCUAAUAAGAGGAUAGUUAGCUGGGCUACUCAUUAUUUGACAACUUGCUAUGGCAUCCAAAUGAGCCCCAAAGUAGCUAAUAAAUUGGAUAGAAAAUAGCAGCAGUGGCAUUUAAGGCUUUGUGAUCAAGUAAGGGUAGGGCUGGCAAACGAGCGAGCCGGCUCGCGUUCGACUCGUGUUCGGCUCGAUAUUCGGCUCGCUCGAGUUCGACUCGAAAUUAAAUGAGCUGAACUUGAACAAAAUAAAAGGCUCGAAAUUCAUUUCAAGCCGAGCUUGAGUAUUACUCGGCUCGUUCGAAUUAGGCUCGAAAAGCUCGAAAUCUCGAAAAUAUAUAUAUAUAUAUAUAUAUAUAUAUAUAUAGAGUCCGGCUACUAUGCUAUUUAUAGUACGAAGCACUUGGUGCUACCAAGUUUUCCACCAUUAGAUCUACUAGUUGGAUCAUUUUCACCCGUUAGAUCAUACUAUUCAACCAACCACCCACUCAACCCUAAGGGGCCCACAUCAUCUUAACCGCACAUCUCUUAAUACAAUGGCCAAAAACUUGGUAGCUGUCACGCCCCGGAUGUCUCGUUCUCCGGGCACGCCGACAAACCCGCCGUAUAUAAAGGAGUUUCCUCUGUACACGAAGCGACAGCUGUACCUGUAAACAUACAAUACUACAAACAGUAGUAUAGAGCUGCUAGAGAAAACAAAAGCUAAACAAACUGAGUUUCAUAUACAUAGCUCAAAUCCAAAAUACAGAGUUACUCGCACUGGCGAAUUAGGUAAACUAUGUACAUAAACUCGAAACAAAACAUCUACCUGCAGUAGGGGUGCCUCUAGCUCUGCUCGUCGAGUAGGGCUCUAACUCGCGACGCCCUUGCCUCGAUCCUGAUCCGCGGAAGGCGCAGCAGCCGAAACCUGUGGCUCUGCAAAACAGGGGUAACAACUGGGCGUGAGAACUACUGUAAAAACAAGUAGUCCUCAGUGGGUACCGCCCAAAACAACAUCAGUCCACCCACUAAGUCUACAGAAGGGAGCAAGAAUAGUUAGAAAAGCAUGAAAUAAACUCUACCGCUAUCAAUCACUACACUAUCAUGCUCUACACUAACCAACUGUAGGAAAUGACAAAUCUGACCUAAUCCAAUCGGGACUGUAAGCAUACCCGUCCCCGGGACUGUGAAUACACCCGUCCCUGCCCCGUUGCGACUAUCAGGCUCUAUCCACACUAACUGGUCCGUGGAGAGCAAGUCCAACUGGCAUGAGCGACACCAACGUGAAAGCACAAAGCCUGACUCCGGAGUGGCACUCGUGAGCGCUACCCAACCGAGUAUGCAGCGUAUCUCUGUCGAGCUCAAUCAGGCUCUUGAAAGCCAAAGUCCAGUGACCGACUCAAACUGGUCUAACAACCAACAGGUAACGUGCCCUCGGCACAAUCCAACGCCAAAAAGGCGAUACGGGUCCACCGUCAACCCCGACGGCACCCAACAGUCUGGAAACAGCACAAACGACCCUGUAAAAAUUCACUCGGCGUACCAGCACGAGCGUAAAUGUAUUCUAAACUACCUGAAGUACUCGUCUCGAGAAUACAGCGACAGUACAAUUUUAUAACGGCUCCUAGAGCUAAAUCAGACAGUUUAAACAAGUGACAGGUCCAAAUCACAGGUUUUCUCCUAAUUCAAUUCCAAGUCCAACAUGUAUAACCUACUCAAUUAUUACCACAUGCUCCAAAUUCAAAUUUGCAAUAUACCAUAUAAUCUAUGAAUUCGAACUAGAAUAGAUUAUCCAAAAUCGAUAUCUAUACAUGUCGACGAUUAUGAACUUAGGAGUAAAACCGAUGUAAACCCACCUCAAAGCUAAUCCCUGGCAGCGAAGGACUCCCUCAGGUGUAGAGCGACCUGCUGGAUCAACCGGAAUCCGCCGAGUCCAGAAUCGAGCUAACUCUACGCUCUACAGCGUAAAAUCCGAAAAUGAAGCACCGAUUCUGCCUCAAAAACAGCAGCAAGAAGAGAAAUUCCGACCAAGAAACCUCCACAAAACCAGCAAGUUAAAGGCUUCGUGAUUCCUCUGCGAAGUCUCGAAUCCAACGAACCAAGUCUCGUCGAAAUCCGCUGCUGCCUACUCGAGAGGAGCCGAAACGCGCACGUCGAUGCUGGAAAUUCUGUCAAAUCAGCACCAGCCUUGAAAUACAAUACUUGAAGCAAUGCAACAGAAACUCACAACUCAAAGGCUAAUCGGACAUCGACGCGGCGUCAAGAACGACGAAAACGUACCUCUGCCUAGCUUGCCUCGCAGCGCUAUAAUGACGAAACCCGCUCGCACGGCACCGUGCGCAACGUCGGCGUCGAUCCGAGCUCACGCCAACUACCAGCUCCCUGAACUCUCACCUUGCCCACGAGCUAAAUUAAAAGAGAUAGAGAGAAAGGCUAAUUACUUUUCCAACGGUUGAGUUGAUAAGUAUCAGAGGGAGUUGGGUGAGAUACUUAUCCACCAACUCAAAAGAUUUUUUUUUUUUUUUCCUCACCAACUCAAGCAAGGUACUACAGACACCAAUGACUUAUGUGCUAUUAAUAGUAAUAUUAGCCUAGUUCUAUAUAUAUAUAUAUAUAUAUAUAUAUAUAUAUAUAUAUAAUUAUUUAUUAAUAUAUAAUUUAAUUUUGGUGCAUUAUUGUUGCCCAUAAAAAAUAAACCCAACAAGUACAACCGUGCAAUUGAGCCCAACUCUAAUUUACAUAACGAAGCUCUCUCUUUCAGACUUUCACUGUUGCAGCAUAAUCCUAAACAUGAUAAUAUUCAAAUCCCAAAUCCCUAAUUCCCCCCCCCCUCUCUCUCUCUGACCCUCACACCAUGCAGCAGUCACCCUAACUCACAUUUCUUACAAUUAUUUGUAUUUAACUAUUGAAUAUGUUGCAUCAAAUUAUAGGUAAUAUUCUAUAAAAAUUAAACUAUUGAUUAUAUAAUGUCGAAAUUUCAAAUCGGCUCGUUAGAGCUCGAGCUCGCGCUCGACUCGAAUUUAAGAGCUCGCUCAGAGCUCGGCUCGAAUUAAUUUCAAGCCGAGCUUGAGCCUAGAUUUAGGCUCGAAAUUAAUUUCAAGCCGAAUUUGAGCUGACAUAAGCUCGCUCAAGCUCGGCUCGUUUCCACCCCUAAGUAAGGGAUCCCAAACACACAUCAAAUUAAUGCUCCUUUCAACGUAGCCACGUGCGCUGAUGAUGACACAAGGCCAGUAGUAAGGUGAUUAGCCAAUUAUUUACAUUAUUUUAAAAAAUUUUCGACUUUCUUAUUUGAAUUAGAUUAUAAUACUAUCAAUAACACCAUGUUAUUUGUGCUAUUGGAUUUUCGGCCGUUGGAUGAAAAAAAUAUACGAUUAGGAUAAUAUGGACCCCCUAGGGUUGAGUGAGUUAUUGGUUUAAUAGUAUAAUUAAAGGUGUCCAAAAUAUCUGAUAUCCCAUACCCAAUCCGGACCCUACCCGGACCCGAACCGGACCCGAUAAAAAAUGAAUAGUAUACGGAUAAAAAAAAUUACCCAUUAAAAUUUCGGGUAUAGGUCCGGAUAUUUUAUACCCAUACCCGAUUUGGACCCGACCCGAAUCUAACUUUUAAAUAGGUAGGGUCCGGAAUAGUUUUCAAAUCCGGACCCGGACCCGGACCCGAUGAAAUAUCCGAUAGUAAAUAAAAAAAAAUAAACUUUUGAAGUUGAAGGAUCAAUUUUAAUAUGACUUAUAGAUGAUGAGUCACUAUGUAUUUUCAUCCUAAUGAAACCCUAGCCGUCUCUUUUACUCAUUACUUUUUUCUAAUUUUUUUACUCUUUGUUUUCUACUCUUUUUUUCAUUUUAUUUCCGCCAACAAUAUUUCAUUGUCAACAAUAUAGUUUGUUUAUUGACUAUUUAAUAAAGUUUAUAAAAAAAUAUAUUUAUACGGAUAUCCGUACCCGAUUUAGACCCAAUCCAUAUCCGAUUUUGAACGGGUAGUAUACGGGUAGUCACUACCCAGACCCGCUCAAAUAGACCCGAUGGGUAUAUUAGAAACUUUAGUACCCAGACCCGGACCCGACCCGAAGUUAAAUGGGUAGGGUAUAUAUAUUUUUUUGUAACCAUUUCUUUUUAGGGUAUGGGUACAGUAUAUUAAUUAUCCAGACCCGACCCGGUCCACGGAUAUCUUUAAGUAUAAUCUAACUCAGGUUUAAAUGAUUUGUCCUUAAGUUAGGGAGAAAAUAGAUGUUUUACUAUUUUUACUAUAGGAAAAAUUUAACUCAGGUUUAAAUGAAGAUAACUUAACGGGCACUAACAAUAUGAGUAUUUUUGAAUAACAAAAAAAAUAUGCGAGAAAUACAUUAAAAAUAAAAAAUAAGUAGAGAUAAAUAAGAUAUUUUAGAAAUUUUGUGGGUACACAGACAACUAUUCCUAACCUACAACAACAUGCACCGACAAAGAAAAACCUUGCAGAUGAUCAUCCGGAAGCAGUGCUCUUCAUCACUUCUCCUUUGACCUCAUCUGCAUCUUUAACGGACAAACAAAUGCAAUGUUGUAUAUUUAUUAGGGAAAACUUCAAAUAUCAUCCCUAUAGUUUCACACUUUUUCACUUUAGUGUCAUUUGAUUUAAAGUGUAUCAAUUUAGUGCCAUAUGAUUUUUUUUUAUCUUUUUAUUAUUAAUUUCACUAAUAUUUUUCGUUAAAUUAGUGACAAAAUUAAAACUAAAGGAUACUAAAAUGAAUAUUCGAUAAACUUAAAUGGGGUAUCUGAAGUUUUUUGUAUAUAAUUUAACAAAAUAUUAACGAAAAAGCUGACGAAAAAAUAAAAAAAAAAUCACAUGACUUUAACUUGAUACACUUUAAACCACAGAGUACUAAAUGAAAAAAUGCGAGAUCACAGGGGUGGUAUUUGAAGUUUACCCUAUUUAAUAUUACUCCUAACAUAGGGAGGGGAGGGACCAUGCAGGGAGGGACAGAGGAGACAAGGACCAGAGCAUAUAUAUAUAUAUAUAUAGAGAGAGAGAGAGAGAGAGAGUUGAGCUAGGAUAUUUUUACAAGUAUCACCCCCAUGGUGCUGUUAGGUUUUUAGCCAUUAGAUCUAUUUCUUGAUUACUAAUAGUUUUUGGAUCAAACACAAUUCCACCUACCACCAUCAUCUCAACCUCACAUCUCUCCAUCUAAGGGCUAAAAACACUAAAGCACCACCCCCAUGGUACUUGUAAAAGUAUUCUAGCUCCACUAUAUAUAUAUAUAUAUAUAUAUAUANNNNNNNNNNNNNNNNNNNNNNNNNNNNNNNNNNNNNNNNNNNNNNNNNNNNNNNNNNNNNNNNNNNNNNNNNNNNNNNNNNNNNNNNNNNNNNNNNNNNNNNNNNNNNNNNNNNNNNNNNNNNNNNNNNNNNNNNNNNNNNNNNNNNNNNNNNNNNNNNNNNNNNNNNNNNNNNNNNNNNNNNNNNNNNNNNNNNNNNNNNNNNNNNNNNNNNNNNNNNNNNNNNNNNNNNNNNNNNNNNNNNNNNNNNNNNNNNNNNNNNNNNNNNNNNNNNNNNNNNNNNNNNNNNNNNNNNNNNNNNNNNNNNNNNNNNNNNNNNNNNNNNNNNNNNNNNNNNNNNNNNNNNNNNNNNNNNNNNNNNNNNNNNNNNNNNNNNNNNNNNNNNNNNNNNNNNNNNNNNNNNNNNNNNNNNNNNNNNNNNNNNNNNNNNNNNNNNNNNNNNNNNNNNNNNNNNNNNNNNNNNNNNNNNNNNNNNNNNNNNNNNNNNNNNNNNNNNNNNNNNNNNNNNNNNNNNNNNNNNNNNNNNNNNNNNNNNNNNNNNNNNNNNNNNNNNNNNNNNNNNNNNNNNNNNNNNNNNNNNNNNNNNNNNNNNNNNNNNNNNNNNNNNNNNNNNNNNNNNNNNNNNNNNNNNNNNNNNNNNNNNNNNNNNNNNNNNNNNNNNNNNNNNNNNNNNNNNNNNNNNNNNNNNNNNNNNNNNNNNNNNNNNNNNNNNNNNNNNNNNNNNNNNNNNNNNNNNNNNNNNNNNNNNNNNNNNNNNNNNNNNNNNNNNNNNNNNNNNNNNNNNNNNNNNNNNNNNNNNNNNNNNNNNNNNNNNNNNNNNNNNNNNNNNNNNNNNNNNNNNNNNNNNNNNNNNNNNNNNNNNNNNNNNNNNNNNNNNNNNNNNNNNNNNNNNNNNNNNNNNNNNNNNNNNNNCUAUAUAUAUAUAUAUAUAUAUAUAUAUAUAUAUAUAUAUAUAUAUAUAUAUAUAUUCCCUUUCAGUGUUAUUGUUAUUGUUAUUAUUGUUAUUAUUUUUUAUUACCAAUAAAGACACAAGACCAUGUGGCUGUGGAGCUUCAAACAGGAGCCUCUUUAAUCAUUUGCCGACAAAGCCAUAAUUAACUUGUACUCGAAGCUAAUUCAUCCUUUUCUUUUUAUUUUUACUAUUAUUUUUCGGCUAAACUGCACUUUUAGUCCUCAAACUAAGGUGCCUGAGAAUUUGGACCUUAAAUUUGAAUUUAUUAUAAUUUUUAGCACACAUUUUUUAUUUUUACAAUCAAAUCCAACAGUAUAAUUUAGUUGGCUAAAUAAUAAUAUAUAGCUUAUAUGACAGUUAUGCAGCAUUUUGGUUGUCGCCACGUAAUCAACUAUAAUAUUACUAAUAUCGACAAUAUUGUAUCAGCGAAGAGCAUAUUUUGAUCAAGUAAAUUAAACCGCUGGACUUGAUUGCAACCGUCUAAAAAGUUUGAAUCAAAAAUUACAAUAAACUAAAGUUUAAAGACCAAAGUGUCACAUACCUUUUAGUUUGAGGAAGAAAAGUGUAAUUUAGCUCUUUUUUAUUUGGGUGAAAACAUUAUUACAAACUAUAAACCAUUUCGACUUAACCACCAAAGCUUUCAGAAUUUUUUAAUUUAUUUGAUUUGAGUCGGUCAACGAUAUUGUGAUUUGAAAAUUUAAAUGUAUUGUCUAUCUUUAUAGGUUUAGUUAUAUAUUUUAUACAACUUUUAAAUUUUAAAGCUAAUGUAUCAUUAAACAACUCAAAUAAAAAGAAAUAAAAUGUUGGAUAGUAUAAUCAAAAUUUUAAAAUAUUGGAUAGUAAAUUUAAAAUAGUCUACGGCCCAAGUAAUUUCUAUAUAUUUAUCUUUUUUUUUUUUCUUGUUCCAUCAUAUUCCAUGUAUUGGGUAAUUUUAACUGCUAAUCCUUGAACUUAAUAUCCAGUUCACGGUACAAGUUCAACUAGGCCGGUAAACUUUUCAGAAGCUCCUCCUCUAAUAAAGAUCCCUCAAAUUUAUCGAGCUCUCUAAAAAAAAAAAACACACACACACACACACACACAAACACACUACUCUUGCAUCUAAUAUUACAUCCGUACAACGAUGCACCAAAAGUUUAUCAACCCUAUGUCUAUCUCAUCCUCUUGAUCUAGUGGUGUAAUAUCAAUGUAAGAAAAAACUGUACUUUAUUAAAGGAUGAAUGAGCAUCGAGACACAAAAUUGUAUACGAAAUGUAAAAAUGCAUGGAGCGCAAGCAUGAAUAUUUGCUUUCGAUCUCAAACAGUAAACCUGGAUAAGAAUUUAAAAUAAAAGAGAUUUUUCAAAAAAUUUUAAAAGUUGGAGUGGCAAUAUGAAGCAUGGCCUAUAAAUGUGAGAGACUACUCAUGAAAUUGAGCCAUAGAUUUUUAUACAUAAGAGAAAGUAAACAUGAGAAAAUUGCCAGAUACAUCAAAUAAGACUCCCCAUUUGAGAAUCUGCAGAAUUUGGAUACAACCCAAUACAAAACCAGAGGCUGUAAAACCCAAAUCUCCCACCCAAACGACCAGAAGAUCCAAUCCAAACCAACUACAUGCAAUAAAAUACAAUACAAGACAAUUCCUAGAACAAAAAUCACACACUUAAUUCCUUUUUCCAAUCCCCAUUACCCUCGACUAAGAUCUGAAGCACACCAUUCUUUCGACGUUCACACAGAAACCCUCCAUCUUGUUGUUAUCUACACUCCCUUGCAUUACCAGCAAUUAGCAAAUUAAAAGAAAAAAAGGAAAAGAAGAACAAACAGUAGCAUUCCAACCACAGUUUCCUUACUCAAAAUGUUAUGCUUCAAACUUGAAAACGGAGGAGGAGGAGAUGGUGUUUAGUAAUAAGUUUACCUUGCCAAGCCGAGCGCCGCCGCGGCCCCUCCGUCGUGCCGCGGCUCUCGUAGGUAACCGAGAAGCACCUCCGCCUACACAAUGACACAAACAUCACAAUUCACAAACAAAUAAGUGCUAUAUAUAUAUACACUAAGAUCAAGUUUUAUAACUUGGUAUCCCCCACACUCUGAUGCUCGCUCACUAUGCGUGUGAGUAGUGAAGGUUUCUAAAGUAUUUUUUUUUUAAGAUCAAAUUUAAUUUGAGUAAUAUAGUUUCAAUCCGGGGUCAGUUCAAUCUUCAUAGUAAGCCUAAGCCUAAGCCUAAGCCUAAGUAGAGGCGUUAAUUAAGGCUAUUUCGAAAUCACUUUUUUUUUUUUUACUAAGGACAUGUUUGGCUAACCUAUCUUAAAUUAUAAAAUUAAAAUAAAAUUUAUUGAUUUCGAUAAUUACCAUUUAAUUUAUAGAAGUCGAAUUUCGAUUUUCAUUCCACUCUGGAAUGGAAUGGAAACGGUCAAAUCCACUAUGCGGAACGACGUAAAAGUUAAAACUACUAGGUUCGUACGUACGCACAUACCUUGUGCUUGGCGCGGGCGGAGCCGGACUGGGAGAGGGCGACGAGCGGCGGGAUGGCGCCCUCGCGGACGAGCAGGGCGCGGUUGCGGGGGGAGUCGGCGCAGAGCUGCAGCAGCGCGACGACGGCGAACUCCUUGCCGCGGGGGGGGCCGUCCUCGAUGGCCUCGACGAGCGCGGGGAUGCCGCCGGCGUCGACGAUGGCGUCCCGGCCGUCGGCGAUCGCGGCGAGGCUGCCGAGCACGACCAUGGCCUUCUCCGCCGUGCCGCCCUGCUGCUCGGCCACCAUCGCGACCAGCGGGGCGACGGCGCCGGCGCUGACCGCCCGCUCCUUGUUGCGGCGCGCGGCGCACAGCUUGUAGAGCGCGGCGAGCGCGUCCUUCUUGCCCCGGGUGGUCCCGCGCACGAGCAGCGAGACCAGCGGGGGGAUGGCCCCGCAGGCGCCGAUGGUGCCGCGGUGCUCCUCCACGGUCGACAGGCUCAGCAGCGCGCACGCCGCGUUCUGCUUCGCCGCCGCCGUGCCCGUCCGCAGCACGUACACCAGCGGCUUGAUCGCGCCCGCCGCCGCGAUCGCCGCCUUGUUCGCCUCCGCCAGCGACAGGUUCAGCAGCGCCGUCGCCGCCCCCUCCUGCGCCGCCGGGUCCGUGCUCCGCAGCAGCUCCACCAGCGCCGGGAUCGCCCCCGACGCCCCGAUCAGCUCCCGGAGCUCCGACCGGUGCUUCGCCAGCAGCCGCAGCCGCGCCGCCGCCUCCCGCCGCGCCUCCGCCGGCUCCGACGCCCGCAGCCUCUCCACGCACGCCCGCACCACCGGCUCCAGCCUCUCCACCGGGUACCAGUCCAGCGCCUCCGACCGCGGCGGCUCCUCCAACUCCGGCCGCCGCAGCAGCAGCGCGCUCGCCGCCGCAAACUCUCCGUCCGAUCUGGGGGCCGCCCCCGCCAGCCGCUCCAGCUCGCCGGAGAUGUCGGAGCUGAAGCUCGAGUAGUCGCUGAACUCUCCGGACAGCUCGAGGAGGUCCCUCGCGGCUUUGCCCGCGGCGGAGGAGGGGCCGGCGGCGGCGAGCUCGCGGAGGCGGACGUCGACGAAGGAGUCGGUGAGCUCCUCGGACACGGCGCCCGAGGGUUCCGGGGGGUCGAGGGCCCGGACCGGCGCGUUCUUGAAGAGGUUGGACCGGACGGUUCGCAUGGACCGGCCGAGCAGGCGCUGGAUCCGGACCGAGGAGGCGCAGGGGCUCUGGGACUGGGAGGCCGAGAUCUGAGUGUCCGUGAGCGAAACCAUCGUAACUAAUUAAUUACGAACAAACAAGUCUUUAAUUAGAACGCAAUGUUGCAAUGUUGUUACGAGAGGAGGAGGAGGAGGAGACGUUGGGGAUCAUGGGGAGCUAGGGAUCGAGAAAUUAAAGUUAAUGGCGAUCGAUCGAGUUGGGAUUUGGGAAAGAGAAAUGGUGGUUGGGAGGAGUAUGUUUCCGGAGGGAAGAAGAGUGCGGAAGGUUCGCCGAGGGGAAAUGACGAGAACGGGUUUGAAUUGAGGUUGACGACAAGAGACGCGGGGUCCCACUCCCCUCGUGGUGCUGUUUGGAGUUGGCUUUGGCUGUGGGCUAUCUCUACCCUUUCUUCUUUUCUCUUUUUUCCUUUUUUUUUUUUUUUUUUUUGUGUGUGUGUUUCUUUUUUUUUUAAAAAAAAUUGUUAUUAUUAUUGUUAUUACAGUUGGAGCGCGGGAGGAGUUUUUACUCUGUGUUCUUUUCCUCCUCCUCCUUUUGUCCUCGGCUGGAGGUUGGAUUCGCUUUUUGAGGGAAGAGGAAUCUUUUGCUGGGAGAAAAGAAAAAAAGUGUAAACUUCAGGUACCACUCAAAUAUUUUUAUAUUUUUUUAUUUUAAUAUUUUGUAAUUUAAAGUGUAUUAAAUCAGUGUUCUGUAAUUUUAUUUUUAUCUUUUUGUCAGCUUCUCUGUUAAUAUUUUGUUAAAUUAUAUACAAAAAAACUUCAGAUGUUCCACCUAAAUUUAUCGAAUAUUCACUUUAGUACCCUUUAGUUUUAACUUUAUUACUGAUUUAACGAAAAAAAUUUAUAAAAUUGAUAAUAAAAAAGAUAAAAAUAAAAUCUGAGGGCACUAAAUUAAUUUAUUAUUAUCAAGUCAUACAAAAGAGGUAAUAAUAUAAUUUUAUGCCACUUAAAUUUUAACAAACAAACAGCAAAAUUUGAAAAACUUCAUUCACACAGCUGUAAAUUCAAAAAAUGAAAGAAAAGUCAUUUUCAUCUGACUGCACCCAAAGUUUAUUUCAACCUAAAAUCUAGUUUCGACAAAACAAACAUGUUACUGAGGUUGUAAUCUUACAACAAUCUUAAUCCAAUGCUUAUUUCUUCUUCACUUGAUUUAUCAUUUUUUUAUUUACUAAAAACCAACCUAUGCUUAAUUAUUAAAUCUUUAAUCUUUUUAAAUAGGAAAUUGCUAUGUCCGUAUACUUGCUGAUUAAAGUAUUAUAUGAAGAGGAGAUAAAAUGAAUAAAAAUAAAAAAUUCAAUUGAAUUCUAACUCAUAAAUAACCUAUUUUUAAAGUUUAAAGCAAUAUAUCAUAUCCUUUCAGAUGUGUUUAAUUGGUUUGAUGUAAAAAUUGGUGAAAAAAAAAUUUUCGGUAAAAAAAUAGUUUGUUCGACAUAAAAAAGAUAUUUUCGUGAAAAAUAUUUUUACAUAUUUUAAAAAAAUUUUCCUUUCCACGUGAUAGCUGAGGAAAACGAAAUGGCAGAGCAAAAAUCACGGCACAUGGCUGCAUUUUUUAGGCGGUCCACGGGGCCACUUCAGCCUCAUAGACCACGUAAGAGGUGGUCCACAGUGGACCUUCCUCUCCUUUUAUAUAUAUAAUAUAUAUAUAUAUAUAUAUAUAUAUAUAAAUAUAUAUAAUAUAUAUAUAUAUAUAUAUAUAUUUAUAUUUGUAUUUAUUAUAUAUAUAGUAUUUAUUUUUAUAUACAAACAUUACUAUAUAAUAUUUUACUUAUAAGUUUAUAAUUAUUUAUUAAUAUCCCUAAAUAUAUAACUCAGAUAUAUUAUGUAAUAUAUUUUUUAUAAUUUUAAAUAUAUUUAAUCUAUAAAAAUAAAGAACUAGACUAAUAUACUAUUAAUAGUACUAAGUCAUUGGUGCUACCAAGUUUUUGGCCAUUUGAUUAAGAAAUGUGCGGUUAGGAUGAUGUGGGCCCCUAGGGUUGAGUGAGUGGGUGGUUGUCACGCCCCAGAUUAUUCGUUUUUCUGGGCACGCCAACAAAUCCGCCGUAUACAAAGAAAUUUUUUCUAUAUACGAAGCGACAGCUGUACCUGUAAUCAAACAAUAUUACAACCAGCAGUAUAGAGCUGCUAGAAGAAAUGAUAUAUACAAAAAAAGAAGUUCACUAUACAUACAAGUAUCCUGAUAUACAAAACACUCGCUCCGGCGAGAUACAACAAAAGUAUAUAUAUGAACUUAAAAAACUACAGCUACCUAUAGCUGGUAUACUCUAGCUCAGCAGCAACUGGGAAGGGAUCUAACUCGCGACUCCCUUUCCACGGUCCGAAUCAGCAACAGCAGCAGCCGAAGAAGAAGGCUCUACAAAAGAUUUCAACAACUAGGCGUGAGAACUACUGCAAAAAGAAGUAGUCCUCAGUGGGUAUCGCUACCGACCUCAACGGCUCACCCACUAAGUCUACAGAUGUAAACAAGUAUAGUAAGAAAGCUGGAAUAAAUCUACAGCUAUAUGCACAUAUACUAUCUCGGUUUAACACCAACAAUCUGUAGGAAAUAGUAAAGUCUGACCCAAUCUCACUAGGGACUGUGAACACACUCGUCCCGCCUGUCGAAGCUACACAAUCUGACACGAAACCAGGUCGUCAGUGAAGAGCAAGUCCAACCAGGACUAAACGACACCAACGCAAAAGCACAAAGCCCGACUCCGGAGUGGCACUCAUGGGCGCUAUCCAACCGAGUAUGCAAGCGUAUCUCUGUUGAGCUCAAUCAAACUUUCACAGGCUAUAGUCAAGUAAACAGGGUCUAACAACUGAACUCACGUGCCCUCGAUACAAUCUGAUACAAAAACAGUAAGCUGGGUCCACCGUCAGCCUCAACGGCACCCGACAGUCUAGAACAGCCUAAACAUUGCUGUAAAAAUAAGCUCGGCAUCUCAGCACGAGCGUAAAAUUAUUUUACACUAUUCUGGGUAUCCACCACCCACAAACUGCGGCGAUACAAUCAAACUACGGCUCCCAGAGCUAAAUCUGGUAGUUUGUUCAAAUGGCGAUGUAGAAACGUCCGUUUUCUCCUAAAUCAAAUCAAAGUCCAACAUGCAUAUUUUAGCUAAUUUUCUAUGUUCGAAUUCAAGUUCAUAGGUAUGAAAUUCCAAGAAACGAGCUAAAUAAUAUACUAAACAAAGCUAAAAAUACAUGUUGUCGACACAUAUAGCAUUAGGAGGAAACCCGUAGAAUUCGAUAAGCAUCACUUUAACCCACCUUGAAAGGGCGUCCAAUAACGACAAGAAGUCGACAGAAGCGGAACCACACGCUCGCCCGGCCUCCCUACGGCGCUACCACAAUAAACGUACGCUCGAACGGCACCGCGACGCAACGUCGAUGUCGCUCCGACUCCACCCGAGAGCUCCACCACGUACGGCACAAGCUAGAGAGAGAGGAGAAGAAGAACCAGCAAGAAGCCCUCCUUUCUGCUCCCCUACACAUAUAUAAGGAGAGUUGGUGAGGGUGAAGAUAACGAGGCAGCCAAAACACAAUUCAGCCCCUCACCUACCCUGGUGUAUCGAUACCACAUUAAUGUUGUACCGGUACCACGCAGCAGGAUGGCCAACCCGAGAGCAGUCUAUGCAGAAAAAUGCACUGGGUACCGGUACGCCCCUGUGUGGUACCGGUACCAAUUGCUAAAAAUUUGCAAUUUGCAGAUUGCAAUGCUAACUCUCUGCUCUCGCGUCGCGCUGAGUCCAGUUUGCGUCUAUUUCGCGCCAACAGGAUUCGGACUUGUCCCGACACUCUCCAAAACUGUCGACAAGCCUCAAAUGCUGAAUUCCAGGGUUACUACAGUUGGUUGAAUAAUAUGAUCUAACGGGUGAAAAUGAUCAAAAGGGUAGAUCUAACGGUAGAAACUUAGUAGCACCAAGUGCUUCGUACUAUUAAUAGCAUGGUAGCCAGACUCAAAAACAAAUUAUAAUAAUAAUAUAUAAUAUAGUAAUUAUUAUAUAUUAAUAACAUAUACAAUAAAAAAUUUAUUGAAUAGUUUUUUAUCUUUUUUUUUUCCUUUCAAUCAAACAACCAUAAUAAAAAAUUAUUUUUUAUCUAUUUUUUUUCUUUCAAUCAAACAACCUUAAUAAAAAAUUAUUUUCUUUUCUUAUAAACCAAAUAUUAGUAAAAUUUUGUUUAAUCAAAAUUUCUUUUUCCAAAUUUUUUUUUCAUAAUUUUACAUGGAACCUAACGCAUCUGUAUAUACUAGUAUUUAUUCCUUUCUAUGUAGGCUCUUGUGAAGUUGCUUAGAUAUUUUUUUUUAUUACAAAAAUAUUCUUUUUGAGGAAAAUUCGGAGAUUUUAAUUACCCAAAAAUAAGUACGAAACUUGAUACAUACCCAUACACAGGGUGCAGGGAAUAAUCUCUUUAGGCUGAAAAAAUUUUAUAUUAUGUUACUGAUGUGAUGCCUCCAACACAUAUGAAAAUAUUUUAAAUUCAUCAAUUUUAUCAUAAUUUAAAAAAAUAUUUUAUUAUAUUUUUUUAGUUGAUCGGAAAUAAAUGAUGUGAUGUAAGUAUUAUAUAAUAAAUUUUUUCAAUAACAUUAGAUAGGGGACGCCCUUGUACUAUUAAUUGAUAUUUGGUGUUAAAUAUAAAAUUAUAUAUAAAUAUUAUUUUUUAAUAGUUUAAAUUUUUAAAAUAUAAUAAAUAUUUUACAGAAUAUCAUAAUAAAAAAUUUUGAAUUUAAAUUAUAUUAGAUUUUUAAUAUUAUUAAUUUUUUUAUUUAAUUUAAAGAGUCUUACAGGAUCAGAGGUAAUUAAAAAAUAUAAAAAUAUAUAAACAACCGAUGUGAUGGGUUGGUGGAGCAACGGAUGUGAUUGGCCGGUAGGUAUACAUCGUGCGGAUUUGGUGGACGUGGCGCGCGAGAUGUUCGUGUUCGGGGGACUGACGUCCUCCCUCACCGGCGUCGAGAGUUUGUGCAGCGACAGCUGACAGCUCAGUCACUUUUUGCAGCCGAUAGUGAAAGGUCUCAAUUAUUUAAUUAGAAAUAAAAGGGGUAAUUUUAUACGUCUUUUUAUAAAAUUUUUUAAUUAUAAAUUAAUGAUCCAUUUGUAUAAAAAAAUUUACUAAUUUUAAAUUUUUAUAAAACUAGACCAUUCUUUUGAAUUUUAAAGAUUUGAAUUGAAUUUUUAAUAAACUGAUCAAAAUAUUCUUAUUCUCUUUUUUCUUUUUUUCUUUUUUUUCUUUUUCAACCAAGAGGAUGACGAAGGCGGUUUGCCUCGUCUCUAUCCGGCGCACCCUCGCCCUCGCAUCCCCCUUCCUCGCCUCCGACCACGCCUAGGCCAGGUCGCGACCUUUUUUUCUUCUGUUUUUUUUCCGACCUCCCUCCAUUGCAUUUUCGGAUCAUUACGACAGUAAAGAGGAUAAUAUCACGCCCUCUUACUCUAUUUUUUUCCUCUCAUUUCUUUUUUUAUUCUCUUCCACCCCCUCCACCACCUCCCUCUCAUCUAGUUUUGUUGGGAUAUUUUUAUUUUUAAAAUAAAUAGUAAUUCUGUAUAAUUUAAUGUGUUGGAGAAAUAAAUUUUUUCCUCUUGCCAUAAUUAGUUAGUUUGCUGUUCAUAUUUGAAAAUUGGGUCAACAAAAAAUAUUAGUGGAUCAAGACUUAUUGGUUCAAUUAAUGGAUUAACGAAAAUUCACUAAUUGAACCAACAACGUCAAAAUAAUAUCAUAAAUAUUUAAUUUUAUUAUAUAAAAAUCUAUAUUAUUAUUUUAUUAUCAUACUUAGUUAUAAAAGUUAAUAGCUUUAUUAUAUAAGAAUAUGCAUUUAUUUUCAUAUAAUAUUUAGUUAUAAAAUAAUAAUUUUUAGACCAAAUAAGUAGAUAUAAGUUUUUAUGUUUCACUUUUUACAAGACUAAUUUGUACUGAAAGAAAAUAAAUUUAGCUAAAUUAAUUUUAAGUCGUUGGAUUUUAAUAUAACUUUAAUAAAAAAAAAACUUUCAGACAUUAUACUUAAAUCCGGACCGGUUCAUCAGUUCGAUAGUUGAACUAUCAGUCCAAAUAGUUUAAACGAUUUUUUUGACUCAUCCGGUUCAAAGGGUUGAAUCAAACCAUUUUAUUAAUUGGGCCACGCUUGAACUGGUUGAAUUGGCGGGUUCCACCCGAUUUUUGAAUCAUAGUAGAUAGCUUUUGAAAAUAAAAAAAUAAUUAGUGUUUCUAGUUAUUUUUUAAUACUGUUCAUUCAUUUUUAUUCAACGGCUUAGAUUUAAUUUUUUUUUAAAUUGUAACCUACAAUAAAAGGUCAUUUUGAGAGUGAUACCGAUUAUCAAGUACCCCAAAAAAGGGUAUGUUGGUCUUUUAAUAUAUGAAUAAUUUAGUAAUUUUAUCUCCAUUAUAUUAUCAAAUCUCUAUUCACUCUUUGUUUCUUCAUCCAUAGUAGAGAUGUAAAGGGGUAGGAUUAAAGGCGGAUUUUCAAAAAUUUGAACCCAAACCCGACUAUCAAAUCUGAAAUAACCUUUUAAUUAUAAAAAUACCCUCAUAUUAAAUAACAUUUUAGUUUGCUAUAUAAUGAAAUGAUAUUUUUAACCUUUAUUAAUGAACUAUUAAGAUCUUUUUUAUUUUUUUAUAAAAUGAACUUUCGAAUUAUUUCUCAAAAAUAAUAUUAUAAAUUUUUUUAUUUUCUGUUAUCAAAUAAGCACGGAAGGAUUAUAAACAAUUUACAUCUACAAGUACCCAUGAGACCUUAUUAAUUAUAUGGGAAAACUUCAAACACCCCCACUGAGGUUUCACACUUUCUUACUUUAGUACGCUAUGGUUUAAAGUGUAUCAAGUUAGUACCCUGUGGCCUGUGGUUUCACACUUUCUCACUUUAGUAUCCUGUAGUUUAAAGUGUAUCAAGUUAGUACCAUGUGGUUUCACACUUUCUCAUUUUAGUAUUCUGUGGUUUAAUAUUUCGUUAAAUUAUAUACAAAAAACUUUAGAUAUCCUAACUAGGUUUAUCAAAUAUUCAUUUUAGUACUCUUUAGUUUUAACUUUGUCAUUGAUUUAACGAAAAAAUUACUCUAAAAUGGAUAAUAAAAAGAAAAAAUUAAAAACAUAUGGUACUAACUUGAUACAAAAAUGAAACAACAGAGUAUUAAAUUGAUACACUUUAAAUCACAUGGUACAAAAGUGAGAAAUUGCGAAACCACAGGAUACUAACUUGAUACACUUUAAACCACAGGGUACUAAAAUAAAAAAAUGCAAAACUACAAGAAGGGUAUUUGAAGUGUUCCCUAAUUAUAUCUUUUAGAAAUCUUAAAGGACUCUGAACUCUUCAGCAUCUACGUUUACAGCCUCAAGAUUCGUUGAGAUGCUUCUGGAAGAUCAUAAAACUUUGGACAGUUAUCUCCUUUAAAGUUUAGAUUAUUAUAAAAGAAAAAUUAGGAAAAAAAAAAUUCUAAGUUCCUGACAUUCAGCUCUAAUUAAAAGAAAAGAAGUCAUGGGUGCAUUAGAGGAAAAAGCAAGCAGUACGUGUUGGCCAGAGCUGACCGAGCUGGGUUUUGGAGAAAGAGCGGCGUCGUGUGCGUUUGGUACCGGGGUUAUCCCGGAACAACACGGGAUAUCCCGAGUUGUAACCAGAUGGUAGAAGAACAUGUCAAAACAAAUUAUUUUGGAUUGUUCUUAAAUAACCUGUUAAAAGUUGUUUCUAGGAGAAUUGAGAAUAAUUUUAUUCUUCUUUUUAUUUUAUUAGAUAAAUAGAUAUAUAAAUAAAUAUAUUAAUAUAAAUAUUAUUUUUUAUGAUAAUAUGUUUAUACUUAAAUUUUAUUAUAUAAUAUAAAUUAAUUAAAUUUGAUAUAUUAUUUAUUUUAUUAAUUUUUAUUAUUUAUAUAUUAAUAUUUAAUUAUUUUAUUUUAUAUUAAGUAUUAUAUAUAUAUAUAUAAUUAUUUUUUCAUGCAUUAUAUAUUUUUUUAAUUUGUAUUGAAAUUUAUACUAUUAUUAAUUAAAAUUAUAAGGAUAUCGUUACAUAUAUUAUGAAUAAAUUAUAUAAAAUAAAUUAUUAUUAUAUAUAGUAAAAUAAAUAUACUAUUUUAAAUUAAAUUGUUAUAUAAAAUAUUAUAUUAUAAAUUACUAUAAAAAUAAUUUUAUAUAAAAUAUACUAAUGUAAAUUAAUUAUUUUAUUUUUAAAAUAUAUUUAGGCAUUGUUCUACACUUUUUAUCCAACGCUACUAAGGAUAUCCUCUAGAAUAUUUUCGAAUAUAUCCAAACAUAAAUUUACAAUUAUUCUAUCUUGUGCCGGAAUAUUCCCUAUUCUCAGGAACAACAAAAAUUGUUCUCCAAAAUAUAGUUCUCUAACCAAACGCAGCCUAGUGAACUGGUAGGAACAGUCGUCAUCUAUAUAAAAUUAUUAUUUUAUCUUUUCAAAUAAAAUUUUCUAUAGUCAUAAAUUUUUUUAUUUGCUUUUAAGUUAAGAACAAAAAAAAAUUUUAAUUUUUUACUUUUUUUCUAAUAUAUUCUUCUAUCGUCACCCAUUUUUCUUAUCUAAUCUUAAGUUAGGAGCAAAAUAGAUAUAUUUUACUAUUUUUUAACUAUGGUAGAAAUUUAACUUAGAUUUAACUUGAGAUGACUUUAUGGAAACUAACAACAUGAGUAUUUUUGAACAGAGAAAAGGAGUAUAUUUGAAAUUAAAAAAAAAAAAGAAGAUAUUUUAGAAGUUUAAGAAAUAUAUAGAUAAUUAUCCCAAAUCUAAUUAAAGUGCUACGAAAUUUUUUAAAAAAACAUACAUUUUGCAAGUAUAAUAUUUUAAUCUGCUACAACAAAAAACCAAAAGAAUUUAGUUCAACAGAUAUAUAUAUAUAUAAAAACCAUAAACAAAAUGAAGAAAGAGAGCACAAAAUAAAAGCAUGCAGAAAUAAAUUUAUAUAGUUCAAAAUACAAUAUAUGUCAGCAUGCGGCCGUAUGAAGACGAAGCGAAAAUUUUGUUACGAACUGUAAUAAGUAGUAGUAGUAGUAGUAGUUAAAAGCUGAGCCUCCUCUUCACCGCCCCCUCGUUAUCCCCCUCCCCUCCCCCGCCUUCCCUCCGGCAGAAGACGACCCACGCGUUGACCUCCAGCGCGACGCAGCUCCCGACGAGCGAGGCCAGCGCGAGGCAGUAGGCCAGCUUCCAGUACGUCCCGCCGAGCCCCAUCACCUCCAUCCCCUGGAACACGUUCACCACCCCGACCACCGCGCACCCGUACCCCACGAAGUGGUGGUACGACUUCCAGUACUUCCUGAACCGGUGCGUCGUCUUCGGCCGGAACAGCAGCGCCGCCGACUGCAGCCCCCCCGCCACCACCGCCGCCACGCCCAGCCCCCGGUGCAGCGAGUACGUCACCCCGGGCGACGCCCUCCCCAUCACCACGCCGAUCGCGAAGCCGGCGGCGCCCAGCAGGUAGGCGCUCGCCUGCACCGCCGCGUGCGCGUAGAACCACGUCGGCCCCACCGAGCUGCACUGCCGCAGGUAGCGCGCCACUGCGACGCCGGCCGGCAGGAGGAGCCCCCACGACAGGGAAUUCAGGACCGCGUGCGCGGCCCGGAGCGUGGCGGACGCGGCGGGCGGCACCUCGGUGGCGGUGGAGACGACGUCGAUGGUGGCGCGGGACGCGAGGUCGGAGGCGGCGGUGGGGUGGAUGGUCGGGGAGUAGCCCUGCACGUAGAGGCCGCGGUUCCAGACGUGGUGGACUCGGGUGCGGUUGGGGGACAGCUUGACGGUGGCGAAGAUCUGGACGCCGGCGCCGUCGCGGACUCCGUCGGGUGCGGCGGCGGCGGAGGAGGAGAGGAGGAGGUGGGUGUCGAGGGGGCGGGAGACGAGGGGGGCGGAUUGGAGCUUGACGGAGGGGUCGAGGACGAAGGGGAGGAGGAGGAGGGAGCCGGAGGAGGGGUCGGAUAAGGCGGCGAGGGCGCGGGUGCCGGUCAUGGACGGGGAGUCGGGGUUGAUGCCCCACGCCACCCAGCCGGAGGGGGAGAUGAAGCUUCCGGAGAAGGCGACGUCGAGGGUGGCAUUGCCGGGGUGGUACGUCCACGCCAACGACGCGCCCUGCGUCGGGAGGGCGAUGCACUUCUCGUAGGUUCUGAGGGAAGCCGCAGUGGUGCAGCGAGCGGCAUUUGCGGCAUCGGCAGCGACGGUUACGAUUGGUUGUAGAGGGACAGCAAGGAGAGAAGGGAGGAUGAGGAGGAGGAAGAAGAAUGGUUGCAUGGCUGGUAGUAGUCGUAGUAGUAGAGUACUCGAAAGAUGGAUUAUGGAAUUUGAGAUGGAUGGAGAAGAUCGAGUGGAUUUGUUGUGUGGUAUGAAGUAAGUGUGAGUUGGUGUUAGUGGGGAGGGAGGGGGGGGAGGUGAGUGCGGAAUCAGUAUUAUGGGAAUGGAUGGAGAGGGAGUAAUUGUUGUGGUGCUUAGCUUUGAAGGUAAGGGACACGAGUAAAUGGCUUCUAUGAGUAGUAGAGGUGGGGGCUCUCUUGUAUUUAUAUAUGCUGCGCCUUUUCCAACUGUUCUGUACCUCUUACUUAUUAAGCAAUGUUCCUUUUGCACCAAAAAUAGGCCACAUAUAUGUACUAAUUUUAUUAGUUUAUAAUUUAAAUUUUUUAAAAUAAAUGAGUGUAAAAUUUACAUUCUUACUUUUGAGUGUACCAAAACAACUAUUCCAUCUAACGCUUACUUUUUCUCAACUAAGUUGUAUCUUUAUUAUUUUACUAAAAAUUAAAAAAAAUUAGUACACUGGGAUUGUAGAGAUUGGAGUCUCUUUUUGGUUGUAGACUUGUCAUUUCUCUUUUUUUUAGGGCAUGUUUUGAUUGGCCCUUUUUUUGUUUUUUUUUAAUCGUAGAAUCAAAAUCAAAAUAAACCACUGUUUCAAUUACCUCUUUUAUAAUCUGGCUAAAAUAUCAAUAUGAGAAUUAAAUCCAGCUAGGGGGAAUCCAAACUUUGUUUUGAAAAUUCUCUAAUUAUAUUUCAUACUUUAGAUUUGAAAUUAAGUUUAAAAAUAUAACUUCAAUUUAAAUUAAAAUGUAAGUUUAAAUUUAGAAUUUACUUUUAAAAAAAAUUUUGAUUUUGAUUUCAACUUGAAUUGAAAUUUGAAUUCAACCAUGCCCUCUGACUUUUGAGUUAUGAAUUUAAGUCUAAAUUCAAAGUUCCAUUUUGUUUUUUAUAUUCAAAUUGCGAACACAAAUUUAAAUUCAAAUUUUUAUUCAAAUUAUAAACACAGAGUGUGGAUUUAAAUUAAAAUUGAAAUUUUAAUUUUUAGAUAAUAAUGCAAAAAUUAUUUUUUUACUAAAUUUACUUUCCAUUUUGAACUUUAAUCUCAAUCUUAAUUUUUUUAUUUGAAUCUUUAUUUAGUUGUAGUGUUCCUGGUAUUUAGCGGCCUGGGUGAUGUCAGCAUUUGAGGUUUGUCGACACAUCUGGAGACUGUUGGGACAAGUCGGGGUCGUUUGGCGCGAAAUAGACGCAAAACAGACUCAGCGCAAGGCGAGAGCAGAGUUCUAGUGUUGAGUACCGGUACCAGUGUGAGGAGUACUGGUACCCCAGUGGAUUACAGGGUUGGAUGCUCUCGGGUUUAAUUGAAUAUAUCCGAUGUUUAGUACCGGUACCUGAUGUCGAGUACCAGUAUCGAGCUCGGGUAUCGGUACUGCAUCGGGCUGGUACCGGUACCCAGUGUGCGAGGUUGCGGGCUGAAGGCCUAAGUACCGGUAUUCAAGUGGAAUACCGGUACUCCAGCUGGAUUUUUGAGUAGGUAAAGGGUAGCUUGGUCCUUUGCUUUGUCGGUAACUUCAACCUUAUCCUCAGCCUUUAUAUAGCUAUAGAGAGCUCAGAGAGGAGGAUGUUGGUUCUACUCCCUCUCUCUCUCUAGUUGUGGGACGUAGCUCGUGGUGGAGGUCGCGACUCGGGCUCGGGUGGUUUUCGACGUCCAUCCGAAGGGCCGUUCGAGCGUGUGUGCGUCGCGGUUGCACCAUUGGAGGCCGAGCGAGCGCGUAGUUUCCUUCUUUCGACUUCUCGCCGUUGUUGGACGAGCUACUCAAGGUGGGUUAAUAUUUACCGAAAUCAUCGAAUUACCUCCUAAGCCUUUGCAUCGUCAACAUGUUAUGUCUGUUUUGUUUCUGUUUGCUAGCACUCAAAUUCAUGAAAUUUGUAUGUUAGAGUAUAAAAUCUGAAUUUGGAGUUGAGCUAGUGUUUGUAUACAUGUUGGACUUGGAAUUGACUUAGGAGAAAACACUCUAAUCCUUCACUGUCAUUUUUUUCUAAAAGUUACCAGCUUUAACUUUAGAAACUAUGGUUCUUUUGUAUCGCCACUGUUUGUAUGCGGUGAAUGCCCAGAUUAGUAUAGGAUGAGUUUACGCUCGUGUUGGGAUACCGAGCCUGUGUUACGGUAGUGUGUAGACUGCUUCAUAUUGUUGGGUGCCGUCGUGGUUGACGGUGGACCAGAUUUUCUGUAUAUUGCAUCAGAUUGUGCCAAGGGCAGGUAGACUUUGGUUGUUAGACCAGUUAGACCUUUUGCUUUGACUACAGCCUGUGAGAGCCUGAUUGAGCUCGGUAGAGACACACUCGCACACUCGUAUGGGCCGCGCCCACGAGUGCCGCUCCGGAGUCUGGCUACAUAGCGUUGCGUUAAUGUCGUAGCAGUCCGUUUAGGACUUUGCUCUCCACCGGCAGCCCUCGGGGUGGUGUACGGUGUAGCUUAGACAUGCGGGAUGGGUAUUUCACCGUCCCCAGUGAGAUUGGGUCAGUGAGAUGCAUAUUAUAUCUACAGAUAGCUUGCAUUAGUUAGCGGUAGUAGAGUGGCAUGUAGCUGUAGAGUUCCUUUCAGCUUUCUUUACUAUCUGUUGUGCAUAUUUCUGUAGACUUAGUGGAUAAGCCGUUGAGGUCGGUGGCGGCACCCACUGAGGACUACUCUCUUUUGUAGCAGUUCUCAUACCCAGUUGUUGACCCCUUUUUGUAGAGCCUUCGUCUGUGGCUGCUGCUGUUGCUGAUUCCGACUGAGGUAAGAGAGUCACGAGUUAGAGCCAUCCCUUUCCUGGUUGCCAGUUAGAGAAGCACCUUCCACAUGUAGUUUUGGGGUGUUUUGUACAUCUGGUUGUUGUCGGGGUACUCGCUGGAGCGAGUUGUGUAGUGGACUUUUUGUAUGUACAGGAACCCCUCGAGGUUUUUAUAUAUAUAUGCUAUUUUUUUUCAGUUUAGCAACUCUUACCUUAUGGUUGUAUCUUGUUUUUGUUUACAGUUACAGCUAUCGCUUUGUAUAUAGGAAAGAUUCCUAUAUAUACGACGGGUUUGUUGGCGUGCCCGGGGAAACAUGAUAAUCCGGGGCGUGACAUUAGUAUUGUAUUUUAAUUUUAUGUUUAAAUUUGAUUUUGAAUUUGAGUAUGAUUUUGAUGUUGAAUUUAAACCUAAAUAUUAUGUUCAAAAUAUGAAUUUAAAGUCAUAUUAAAUUUAUAUUAAAAUUAAAUUUAAACCUUAAUUCAAAUUGUAAUAUUAAGUUUGACUUUGAAUUUAAUUGUAAAUUAGUUUAUUAUUUUGAAUUGUCAACUCAAUUUUCAAUUUUGAAUUUUUUUUUCAAAAAUUAUAUUUUUAAAUUGUGGCUUAUCAUGUUAAAAGUUUGACGUAAAUAUUUACUAUUUAAGUUUCAAUUUGUAAAUUUACUUUUUCUAUUUGAGUUUUGAACUCAAUUUUAACUUAAUUUUAUAUUUUGAAUUUUUUAUUUAAUAUUAUUUUGGAUAAUCAAAAUUUUCUCAGUCUCCACUAAAUAAGUGAAGAUAGAAAUCGGUUAUUCCUAUUACGAUCAUUAUUCCAAAUCAAACAUAUACGAGGAUAUCACUAUUUUGUUUGCAAUUUCAGUCUAUUUUUAUUUACGUUCUGAAUUUGAUUUCACUAUAUUAUUUUUUUUGAAUUUUUAGUUUAGGAAACUAGAGUAAUAUGAUGAGUGCAUAGCAGUUGGUUUUUAGAUGAAAAAUAUGUAAGAUUUACACUUAUUUUUUAGUGUACAAACAACACUGCUGUAAACAUGUAGAAAGAUUCUAAAUGGUUUGGUAUUUUUGUAAAAUAGACGUCUUUAUUUCUAAUUUGGCACUUAAAUUUCUAAACUUAAUCAAAUAAUUUAAUAAGUCAAAGUCCUCAAUCAAAAUUACUAACUAUACAGCCAUUUUAGUCCGUUUUGUACAUGCUUUUAUAUAACUUUACAACACAAAUACCGACCGUUCUUAGAGCAAGUGGCAAAGGGCUUGAUGGUUGGUACCCAAGACCCAAGUUCGAAUCCUAGUUGAUUCACAUUUUCAGCUAAGUUUAUUUCUAAAUGAAAUAAAUGAAGCGGGUAGCGUGCUACCUAUCUCUCAUCAAAAAAAAAAAAAAAAAAAAACUUUACAACACAAAUCUGUUAAAGAAGUCUAUUAAUUUUUAACAUUCUAGGUAUGAUAAUUAAGCAAACAGGAAGUGUAAGCUGAACCUAUCUUCAAUUUUAUUGUUAUUUUCAUGCGUUUAAAUAGAGAAAAUAAAUUUUAUUGUGUUUUAAAUUAAAAGAUUUAUGCAAUAUAGUCAACUAAAACAAAAGUGUAUUUAGUAAUUUUGAUUAAGAACAAAAGAUAAAUUUUAAAGAGUCUAAUUAACUAACAAAAUUAAAAGUUUCGAUGCCUCUUUCCGAAAAUGCUAAAAGCUCAGAGAAUCUUUGUACAUUUUUUUCGAACAAAUAAUGUAAAUUUUACAACAACCAUAAAUAAUGUAAUUUUUACAACCUUAUAAUCCAUUGACCCUAAUUUAUUCCUUCUUUUGAGCCUAUUACCAGUUUUCUUGGACUAUAGGUAGGGAUGUAGGGUUUUGGUACAAAUAAUAGACCUACAAGCCAUUUCAGUAGAAGAGGCCAUUUCGAAGUAGGCCCCUCAGCAUUACAACAUUCUGAUUGACACCUUUGUAAUUUUUAAUUUUUUGUAAUUGAGUAAUUUUAGAUAGUCGAGUUAAAUAUCACAUAAAAUUUAAUGGCUCUACUUACUAUUGGCAUUUAACUAAUUUUCAACAUAAUCGACUAAAACUACAUACGUAGUUUCCGAAUGAUCAACAGUUGAGAGGGAAUGUCCAAAGUGAAGGUGCAGCGACCAGUUGAAAAUGAUCUGUAAUUGAGGGGUCUCUAUACAUUUUUAUCCUAGGUUUUGUAAUUUUGUUUAAGUUCAAUUACAAUUAAUUAAAGGAGCUUUUCGAAAAUUAAACUUCAAAAGUGAAAAUUUCAAAUUCGAACAUCUGAUUAUAGUACGUAAUAUUAGGGAAAAGAUAUCCAAAAGACAUUAAAUGUACUCUUUUCUUAAUAUAGUUCAUUAUUGAACAGAACCUUCCCUGCAAAGUCCAAACAACUCUUAAUAUGAUUUUUAACAUGUCAUGUGGGAGGCUUUGUAUUGGAAGUAUGUUUGUUGUGUGCUUGGCUUUGAAGGCAAGGGUGGGUCUACUAAGCUUUGAUUACAUGCACUGUUUUGGGAUUGUAAAUGGAGAACAUGUUAUCCUUAUGAAAAAGUGGACAUAAAAGCAAUGAAAAAAAAGAAAGAGAGCAUGUUUUCAGGGACAGCAAUUUGUGAGUGUCACUGGAGAUUAGUGUGUGGGUAGCUUUUCAGUAUUUUAACAAAAUCAGAUCACAAGAAAGGGUGCUAAUUAAAUAAAGUUCCAUUAAGGUACUAGGGUUUGCUUAAACAAUUAAUGAGGAAUGCAUUCACUUCCACUGAUUAUUAUAUGCUAAUGAAGGGUUUUUAAACUCCAUGGCUUUAAUUUCCGUCAUAAACUACACUAGCUAGGAAGGUGUGUAAUAAAAAGUUAGACUAGAGUGUUACCAAUAGCAUCAAUAUCUAGAUGUGGGCAUUUGAAUUAAUUAUCUAUUUCAUCUUCUAUACUUAUCUAUUAAUUCUCAAUGAUUUGUACACGUAGCAUCACCACCUUCAUUCUUGAAAGUGGAUCCCAUUUGACCACCUUUAUUCCUAGGAGUGGGUCCCACUUAUCAGGUUCUUUUUUGCGUUGAGUCAAUUUUUUCUUUUUCUUCAUUUUUAGAUUCAGUUAAGUAAUAUUUCUCACUUUUGAAUCAGAUUUUUUAUUUACCUGAAACUGAAUCAGAUUUUCUAUUCAUUUGAACUGUCUUUACAUGCCAAGUUCUAUUUUAGGUUCAGUUCGAUUUCUUUUUUCUUCAUUCUUGGGUUUGGUUCAGUAAUAUUUUUUUAUAUUUAAACCGAAUUUUCUAUUCACUUGAAACAGAUAGAUUUUCUAUUCUUUUGAACCAUCUUCACCUAUUAGGUUCUCUUUUCACUUCGGUCUGAUUUUUUUUCCCCUUCAUUUUUGGAUUCGAUCCAGUAAUAUUACCUUACCUUUGAACCGAAUUUUCUAUUUGCAUCUCUCUGCAUUCUCACCUUCCUUGAAACGAACCGACUCUUUAUAUUUUGCUAUUGUAUUUUUGUAGUUCCAUCUCAUCCCUCUCAACCCCUCAUCUCUUCUCAUCUCUAUUUGGAAACAUACAUCCCCUCACCUCUUUCCAUAUCUUUUCAAAACGUACACCCCCUUAUCUUUCCGUAUCUCGCGAUCAUUGCACACCCCUCCAACUACCCACAUCUGUUUCCAAAAUCCUAAUUACCCUCUCUCUAUCUUAAACUCUGUUUUUUCUUCUUCUUGUCAUCCCCUCUCUCUUUAUUAAUGGAGGAAUUGAUGCUCAUGUCAUUUUUGAUGGAAACUGAUUUUCCAACAAAGAUGAAAUACUCUAAUCAAUGAAUAAUUUGAGAUUUCAACAAUAUGAAAAUCAGGUUAUUUAUGAAGAACUAUUUUUGUGUAUUUUCUCUAAAAUUUAUCUGAACUAAUUAUUAACUACUCUUUCAUUAUUUUUAAUUUUUUUCACAUGUUAUAAUUAUCUUGCUUCCAGGACCAUAGUACUUUACUAAUGGAUAAAAGAUUUGUUAUAUUUGGUUUAGAUUUGUAGUUAUCUAAAUUGGAGUUAAAUUCUAAUCUAAUUGGGAUUGGAUAUAAUUUAGAUUUAAUUUGGCAUAUAUGAAUUAUAAUUAGGAGUGUAAUUCUAAUUGAAUUAGAAUUAGACUCUAGUUAGGAGACAUGUAUUAUAUAUACAUGCUACGGCCAAGUUAAUGACGCCGCGACCAAAUUUGAGAAGCCAUGCAAAUUAAUUAAGAGCAUAUUGGUAGAUGCAUGUACGGAUGGAGAAGCCGGAUCUCUAAUUAAUUAAGUGCCUAAUUAAGUCCUCUCUUGAAUCCAAGAAAAUCGAUUCUUGGGGCUGGUGGUCACGAACACAGCGGCAGCACAUAUCGGUGUACUCUGUUCUUUUCUUUUCGUUUCCUGCAUUAAGUUAUUUUCUGAAUUUAUUUUUCGCCGUUCCGAUUUUAACAAGAUUGGAUGGUAUUCUUUGUAUACAAACAAUUGCUUACUUUUGUCCUCCAUAUAUGAGCAAAUGUUUCAUGUUAACUAAUUAACGAAUUGUUUUGCUUAAAUAUUUUUGUAGUUAAACUACGUAAACAAAGCAAGCCAAACAGAUGAUAUGAAAUCACAAAAGAGGCAUGUGCUUUUUUAUAUAACAAUGAACAUGGAAGAGAGAAUACCACGUACUAAAAGUUCGACUUGUAUUUUAAGAUUUGCAGUUAUCGUAGAAGUAUUCAUACUUUUUAAUAUUCUUUUCAUAUUAUGUUUGAAUUAUAAACUAUUAUACAAUUGUUCCUGUUUUGUCUGUGCAUGUUUUUUUCUUUUUUUUUUUUUGUCUUCUUUGAUUCAGGCAUUGGACGAUGAUUGCAUGUAGCAUGCUUUAGUUUUCUUUUUCUUAAUUCUAUGCUCUUCUUAUAUUCUUUUUCUUCUAAAAUUUUUAUAUUUUUUUUAUCUAUGUUUUGAUUUUGAUUAUUUAGAAUUAUUUUUAUAUUUACUCUUUAGGUAAGAUAGAAUUUUGACUAUAACAAUAUUUAUCCGUUACAUCGUGUGGGCUACUAUACUAGUUGAACAUGAUUUUACAUUCAAAGAAACUAAAUUUUAUAUGUUUUAUUUAUUAUGCACGUAUCUAAUAAUUAAGAAGUCUCAAAAUGAGAAUAUUUUGAUAGUUUGCAAGAUGUUUUUUUGUUUAAUGGUGUAUAAAACUCAAAUGGGUUAGAUUUUGACUGUAAUUUUUUUUAAAAAAAAUAUCUAGAUCAAAAUCUAAAAUAUCAAUCUUGAAUUAUAUAUCUUAAUCUUUAAUUUUAGAAUUUUAUUUGAUUUUGACUUUUCUAUUUUGUUGUCGUUUGAUGAAGCAGAAACUUUAUUCUAAAAUUAGUGAAACUAGGUUAGCAAAGAGUUCACAUGUCCAAAAUAUAUAUAAUCGAUUUGGAUGCUCUAUUAGGGGGCAAGCAUCUUCGGUUCGGUUCGGUUUUUAGCAGUUUUUUUAAAAACUAAACCAAACCAAAUUAGAAGCAUAAAACCGAACUGCACCGAACCAAAAUAAUUCGGUUGGUUCUAUUUGGUUUAAUUUGAUUUCAAUAAAAUAUUUUUGUUUGAUAUAAAUCAUUUUAAAUUAUUAAAAAUAAAAUAUAACCAUGGCUAAUUUUAUAUUAAAUUUAUUAAUCUAAAGGUAAUAAUAAUCAAUAUCUCUAAUUAUUUAAUUAUUAUUCAAGAUCAAUAAAAAUUACUUUAAAUGUGAGGCUAAUUUAUCUUAAAAUGCCAAAAAUUUUGAUUAAUUCGGUUUUUAUGGCUUUUAAUUUUUAAAAUUGAACUAAACUGAAUUAUAUGUUAAACUGAACUGAACAAACAAAUUUUGGUUGGUCCGGUUCGGUAAUUCAGUUUGAACCCAAUAAAGCUCACCUCCAGAUGCCUUAACAUGAAAAAGUUCGCAGUAAGCUGAUCUUUUAGGCCCUGUUUGGGAGCCUUAAUAUAAUAGAAUACUUGUUCAAACCAGAACUUUGGAUUAAUAUUGUAUGUUUUUUCAUAAAUUUUUUUUGACAACUUUUAUAGAAUUAUACAAUACAAUGAAAUAAUAGGGGCGGCAACUAGCUGAGCUUGAGCGAGCUUAUUUCAUCUCAAACUUGGGUUAAAAUUUUUUUUGAGCUUAAGUUUAAAAUUAAUUCAAGCCUAGCCUAAAUUCGAGUCGAAAAGCGUGAGAUGAGUCUCGAUAGAGUUAAGAUGAUACAACAGACAAACCGUGGCUUCCUGACUGAUGAUUCUUGUGGGUGCAGCAUGCCUCCCCACAAAGUCAAUUAAAAGCAAAACAAGUCUGUGAGUGUGUUUGAGACUGAUUUAAAAUAAUCAUAUAUAUAAAAAUAUAAUAGGACUAAAUCUUUAAAUAUGAUAAUAGCAUUUUUGGCGAUGGCCGAGCGAAAAAGGACUAAAGUAGUUAUAUAAUGGAUGAUAUCCCUAAGAAGUGGGGUAUUACAGUUAUAAUUUUUGUCCGGCUAAAAUGCAUCCUUUGGUACUUUCCCUUCCUUUUCUUUAAAUUUGUUAAAAAUAAUUUAUUAUAUCUCCCUAAAAUAAAAAAAUAUAAUACCUAACUCAUCAUUGUUACUAUUCCGCUAUUAUUUUUUAGGGUUAAUUGCAUACACGUCCUUGCAAAUAUAGUGAAUUACAGAUAUAUCCCUGCAAAGUUCAAUUUUUAUAAGUUGUCCCUACAAAAAUCCUAAUGUAUUCAGAUAUGUCCAUGCCGUUAGUUUUCGUUAGAGAAAUUUUGUUAACCACAAUUAAAAUACUUAACCAUGAUUAAUUAAUGAGGUGAAUUUACAAUUUUACCCCUUUCUUCUUCCUCUCCUUUUUUCUCUUUCCUCUUCUUCGUCGUCGGCGAACCCGACCCCGACCUCGCCGACCUCGACCUCGCCGCGACGGCGAACCCUUUUCCUCUUCCUCUUCCCCCUUAUUCUUCCUCUCCCUCUUCCUCUUCCCUCUUCUUUGUUGCCAGCGAACCUGACCUCGACCUCGCUGCGGCGGCGAACCCUCUCCCUCUUCCCUCUUCCUCUCCAUCUUCCUCUUCCUCUUCCCUCUUCUUCGUCGCCGGCAAACCCGACCCCGACCUCGCCGACCUCGACCUCGCCGCGGCGGCAAAUCCUCUCCCUCUUCCUCUUCCCUUUCUCCCUUCUUCUUUCUCUCCCUCUUCCUCUUCCCUCUUCUUCGUCAUCGACGAAUCCGACCUUGACCUCACUGAAGCGCCACCAAUGCCGCCGACGCCGACCUCCCCCUUACCCCCUUGCCUGCGCACCCUUCCUUCGCUUUCUUCUCCUCCGACUUCGUUGAGGCUGCACCUUGACUUUUCUUUUUUUUUUUCUUUUUUUUUUUUUUUUUUUUUUUCAUUUCGAUCCUCAUAUGGAACCUCCACGACGGAUUGUUGCAUCAUCUUCCUCCGCCUUCACCAACACAUGCACCGACGCCGUUGCUGGAGAAGGAGGACUUGGAGUGAGUGCGGGCAAGAAGCAAAAAAUAAAAAAUAAAAAGAAUGAAAAAUAAAAUAUAAAAAAAUAGUUUUUCUAUAAGAAAAAUGAAGAACCAAAGAGAAAAGAAAAAGACGAUGAAUUUGCACUAUUUCAGAAAAUGUUGCAAUAUUUCAUAAAAACAUUACACUGUUUCAGAAUAAAUUUACACUCUUUGAGAGAAAAAAUAUAUUUUUUAAAUACACACUUUUUGAAUGAAAAUUGCAUUAUGUGGACAAAAAUUACACUAUUUUUUCUCUUUAUUUUCAUCCUCUUUCUUACCAAAUAGUGCAAUUUUUAACCAAAUAGUGCAAUUUUCGUUCGAAUAGUAUAAUUUUCGUUCAAAGAAUGUAAUUUUAUUAAAAAAAUUAUUUUUUUCUCUCAAAAGGGUAAUUUUUUUUUUCAAAAAUAGUACAAUGUUUCUCUGAAAUAGUGCAAUAUUUUCCUGAAAUAGUGCAAAUUCAUUAUUUUCUUAUUUUCUCUCUAGUGCUUUAUUUUUUCUUAUAGAAAAAACUAUUUUUCUUUAUAUUUUAUAUUUUAUAUUUUAUUCAUUUUAGUUUUUUAUUUUCUACAUAUUUUUCCUUGCUCCGCUCUCACCCGCACUUACUCCAAGUCCUCCUUCUCCGGCACCCUCGUCGGUGUUUGCACCGGCGAAGGCGAAGAAAGAAGAUGCGGCGCUGUACUCAUUACCGUCGUGGAGAGUCAUGGAGGCAGUAAAGGGGGAUUGAAGAGAAAAAAAAAAGAACAAGAGAAAAAAAGAAGAGGAAGAGUACGUGAGGUUGUAAAGAGUCGAAGAGACGGUGGAGGAGGGUCGGAGAGGGAGAAAAAAAAAGAGGGUUGAGACACGGCCUCGGCGGGGUCGAAAGCGAGGAAGGCGGAGGAUGGGUGUGUGGGCGAGGGCACGUGGAACAGAACGCCUCCGCCUCCACUGUCUUCUCCGGAGAGAAAGAAAAAAGAUAACAAGAGAAAAAAAAGAGAAGAGAGAAAAAAGAAUAAAAAUAUUUUAGUGAGUUUUUUAAAAUUCAAUUCAAAUUUGCAAAAUUCAAAAAAAUAAUUUAUUUUUAAAAAAUUUAAAAUCAAUAAUUUUUUUAUACAAAUUAGCCAAAAAAAAAAAUAGUUGAGUGGGUUUUUGAAAAAAGAAAAAAAAAAAAAAUUGUUGUCAAGACACGUUUGUUGAGGACAAAUAGUAUAGUGUCGUGUAAUGAUCCAAUCCUAUUUCAUAGCCUCUGCGUUUAAAGGGUCCGUGGGGCCGGAUCCAUCGUCAUCCUCUUCGAUCCCCGAAACCCUAACUCUCGUGGAGCCAUGGUGCUUGGGCAAGAGGGUCCGCGAAUGAGCUCCCAAGCUCGGAGCUUGGAGGGGGAGAAGGUGGUUUUGGUGCCUUACAUGCGGGAGCACGUACCGAGGUACCACGCGUGGAUGCAGGACCCGGCGCUCCUCGUCGCCACUGGAUCGGAGCCGCUCUCGCUAGACCAGGAGUACGAGAUGCACCUCUCAUGGACCCGCGACCCCAAUAGUACUCUCCCUUCGCCUACGCUUCUGAUUCUGGUGCUCCGCGAGUCGAUUAGGGUUUUUAGUGAGGAUGGUGAUGGUGAUGAUCGUGUUUCUGUGUUGCAGAGCAUACGUUCAUAGUUUUGGAUAAGCAGUUGAUCCAUGGGAGUUUUGUCGAAGGGAGUCCGCAUGUUGAAGGUUAAUUCUUUUUACCUCGAAAUCCAUUUUGUGUGUAGUUGUUGGCUUUUGUUUGUUGUUUUGAAUGUCUAUCUCGUGUUCGUGAUAUUGUGUAGGAGGUACGUUUCAAAUUGGCGUUUCUUUUUUCUUUUCUUUUUUUUUUGAUGUUCGAGCUAGUUGAUUCCAUUUGCAGGGUAUCAGUUUUCUUGAAUUAUAUUAUACGAUUGUUAUUCUCCGAAAGCGUAAGCCACCGGAGAGAACGACGUUUUUAGUACUUGUAUUCAACAUUCCUCCUUACCUCUAGGAUCGAGAGUUUUUUGACAGGCCCAAGACGGAGAAUUGGAAUAAAUGAGAGGAAACUGAAUGAAGCUAGGAUCCUGAUAGGAUUUGAAUUCAGGACUCGUGCUCUGCUCUGAUAACAUAUUACCCAAACGAUCAAUCUAGAAGAAAAUAAGUCCGAAAACAUAUAUUAACAAGUUUGAACUAUUGAAUGAUAAGUAGAUAGUGUAGAACGAACCUACAUAGGCUUUGAGGAGGACUGAUUUAGAUCCCAACUAUUAGAAGAAGAUUAUGCGGAAAGAAGACCGUCCUAGAGGACUUAGGAGAAGAAGUUUGAAGUGUUUUGUGGUGUAGAAAAAGAAGAAGAUUCUUCUCCAUGUCUUAUUUAUAGGCAUCAAGGAGGGAUGAGAUAUGCGCCUUCCCACUAAGCCACCCAAUAACGUUUGCCCCUCUAGCCUCUAGGUAAAAUUGGGCCCAAUUCACCUUAUCUUCAAGUGUAAAAACUAGAAAAGAAAAUCAAUGAAAGUAAAAAACUAAGAAAAUCCCAAUUACUUUUGGCUUUCCAAAGCCCAAAUUAACCGGUGUUAAAUCACCUACAUUUAAAACAAUAAAUGUCCAAUUAUUUGUUCUGGCACACCUGAAAAUUUGUGCGAGAAAACUCGAAUCUCAUUAAACUCUCUGUGAGCUUUCAGAACAUAGAAAACCUAAUGUUUUUAUUUCCGUGUGUGGGAAGGUUGAUACCAGAGAACGAGAAAAGGAAAAUAGGACUAAAGACUAUUGAAGUGGUUUUCAUAGGAUAUGCCCUAGAUAAUAUUGCCAAUAAGUUGCUAGUCAUAAACUUUGAAGUUAGUGAGAUAUGUAAUAGCUCCGUAAUUGAGGUUAGGGAUGGUGUGUGCUUUGAGGACACUUUCCCCUGGGCUGACUAUUGAUUAAGUAUAUGGCCAGCUCUACUAGUAAUAGAUCUACAUAACAAGAGGGCUUGAUAAAACUUAGAAUUAAGAAAAGUAGAAUAAAAGAAACUUUUGGAGUUUCUUUUAGUGACGACUUCUGCAUCCUAUUAUUGAUCUGCUUGAAUGGAUUCAAAAUCAAUAUGUCGGAUAAAGGUGUACUCAAAGGACUAUUAAUGGCAUAUUGGCAUUAAAUAGAAUGACAUCAGAAGUUUGUCUCAUCGGUCCCCUUGAUUGGAUUCAAAACCAAUAAGUCUGAUAAAUGUGUGUACUCAAAGGACCGUAAUAGAUAAAAGACUAUUCUAUGCUUGUAUAUAGAUAGGUUCUUGUUAACACCAAUGAUAUUACCAAUAUGGGUCGGAUUAAUGAUGCAAAGAUCCUUCUUUGUCAAACUUUGACCCGGAGGAUCUCGGGUAAUCUGUUGUUCAUAACAUCAAUAUUAUUAGAAGAUCUUAUGAGAUUAUCGAGUCCUAAUCUGACUACUCUGAACAACUGUUCAAAAAGUUUGGUACUUCAACCGUAUGGCUGAUCCUGUAUGUAUGACUCUGGCUCCGUUCCAAAACAUAGUUGACAUGAGCAUCCUUCUAUAUGAACUUGUGAAUUCAGGUAACUCAAGCUCUUAAAGUAAGUAUUGAGGUAUGUGACCUUGUGUUAUAUCCUUGGGUGAUAUGCCCAUCAUUCAUCAGCAUAGUACGACACUUGCUGCAUGGCUCACACAAAGGCAGCACUUAAGUCGUGCAUUAAACUAGGAAACCUGACUUCGUAACUUACAAUUCAUUGAUUUGAGUGGUAGGAUAGAAACCAGGAUAUGCCUUUAGAUGAACCAGCUUAAAUCUAUACUCUUCCUAAAGCCUACAUACCUGACCUAUAUGUAGAAUGAAUACAAGAUAAUCUGUACAUAGGAUGAACACAACUAUAGAACCCAUUCUGCAGGCUAGUUCUGGUAAUAAUCAUGCUUAAAUGAGUGACUUUACAUGCCUUGCGAUAUUUGUUAGCUUCGCUCUUUGUGAUGUUAAGCAGAGUUGCCAUUUUAGUGGUUUGAAUGUUUGACCAACCAAUUCUCGUUUAGCAUGUCUGAUUCAAGAAUUAUAGACAAUAGCCUUUAAAAGAUGCUGUUGAGGGUAUGGAAAAGAAUUGAAGAAACCUUUUAGGUAAGAUCAGUCCAAAUCCUGCCUGGACCUGUCUUUAAAUAAAUGACAAGUGCAUUUGUAUUUGUUUUGAUCCUCUAAGCUUUCUCCCUUCUAUAUAGAGGUGCCUCACACUGAUUGGAUGGCUCUAAUAAUAUUGACCUUGUUUUUAUUUACUAAAGCCCAAACAGGCCCAACCUGGAAACUUUCGAAUGCCCGUGUCCUGAAUUUUCAUAGUUACUGGUAGUUGCUAAAUCAUGAUUAAUCUAUAUGUGUUAGAUCUCUCGAUUUAAGGCUGUCACUACUACACAGAAUCCUCUUGCAUUAAUUAUUUUGCACUCUGAUUUAAACUUAGUAUAGAAAGUGUACUUAUAUAUUAGUUAAAUAACUCACUUUAGCGAAAGCUUGUAUUAUAGUGACCAUUUUAAUAAUUUGGCAUUGUUUUGAUACAGCUAUGGUUGGCGACAUAAACAUUUACAUGAAUGAUCCUGAUGACUUACAAGUCGCAGAAAUUGAGAUUAUGAUAGCUGAACCAAAAAGGUAUCACUUAUGUACAAUAUGGACAAUUCCAUAAUAUCUAUCUCCUCUUCGAUUUGUCUUCUGAGGAACUUCAGUAUCACAUGAUCUGAUGAGUGGUCUACUUUAGAUGAACCAUGGCAACGUAACAUAGAAAUAUAUACCAAAAUGUUGUAGUAGAUUUGGUGGUAUGCAAGUAAUAUUUUGAUAAAUAUGGCAGCAAUGCUGCAAUAGGAAGGACCAUAAAUUGAUGCUUGUAGGCUUAAGACUAGGCAAAUCAAACGGACAGGGAUGAAGAAUAAUAAACCACCUAUAGGGUGCCGUUCUUCGGUUCUUGGAAGGUCUUCUCUUCAUAUGCAGAAACAGACUUGGUUAUAGCUACAGAGAUGGUAUAUGUCUGUAGAUUUUUGUUGUGUCUUUCUUGAAUAUUACUGCCAAGUUGCUCGAUGUGCCUGUGUUUGUGCAUGAACAUACAUGUGUUGCUGUGCAUAUGCUUCUUGUGCCUGUUUUCAUGUGUCUGCGUACGGUCGCAUGUCUGUUUGUGCCUGCACUGGGGCUUGCAUGUGCCGGUGUCUGUUAGCACAUUCAAGUGUGCGCUUGAAAAUUUGUACAUCAAGGGAGAUGGAUUUGGUAUUUCUUGUUGUCACAAAGAGUGCGUCCUUCAUCUGUUGGCAAGCAAAUUGCGAAUCCACUAGGCUGACACUGCAUGUCAAGUCAACAAUCCAACAUUCUGACUUUUUGAAAGUUUCUAGUGGUUGUGAAAGGAGACUAGUUGUUUUCGUUAUAACACACCCCGGAUUACACGUUCCCCAGGCACGCCGACAAAUCCGCCGUAUACAAAGAAUUUUCCUUGUAUAUGAAGCGUAGCUGCAACUGUAAAACAUACAAUACUACAACCAGUAGUAUAGAGCUGUAAUGAAACUAAACAGGUAGAACAAAAACAAGUUCCAUAUACAUAUAUAGUAUCAAGGUACAAAAGUACUCGCUUCAGCGAGUUACAACAUCUGUAUGUACAUGAACCCGAAAUAAGAAGAGUACUACUACCUGCAGCAGUGGAUCCUCUAUUUCGGCAACUCGUCGGGUAGGGCUCUAACUCGCAACGCCCUUGCCACGAUCAGCCUCAGAAGGUGCAGCAGCCGGAACCGAGGGCUCUGCAAAAGAAGAGUAACAACUGGGCGUGAGAACUACUGUAAAAACUAGGCCUCAGUGGGUGCCGCCCUCAACACUGCCGGUCCACCUACUAAGUCUACAGAAGGAAGCAAAGAUAGUAGGAAAAGCUGAAAGAAAGCUACAGCUAAAAGCCUCUACACUAUCCUGCUCUACUUUAACCAACUGUAGUACAUGUCCAUCUUGAUCCAAUCUCACUGGGACUGUAAGCAUAUCCGUUCCCGGGACUGUGAACACAUCCGUCUCACCUGUCUAAGCCAACGCUACCUCCACGACUAAGCAGUCCAUGGAUAGCAAGUAAUCAGCGACAUCAACGCAAAAGCACUAAGCCUGACUUCGGAGUGGCAGUGUGACACUCGUGGGCAUAACCCAACCGAGUAUGCAAGCGUGUCUCUGUUGAGCUCAAUCAGGCUCUCAUAGGCUAAAGUCAAGUAAUAGGGUCCAACUGUCUAACAAUCAACAAGUCACGUGCCCUUGACACAAUCUGACGCCAAAACGGCGAUUCGGAUCCACUGUCAACCCCGAUGGCACCCAACAGUCCGGAACAAUCUAAAAGCUACUGUAAAAAUAGGCUCGACACUCCAGCACGAGCGUAACAGCUAUCUAAACUAUAUGGGGUAUCCGCCACGCUGAAACUGCGGCGAUACAAACUAACAACGGCCCCUAAAGCUAAAUCAUAUAGUUUAAACAUAUGACGGGUUCAAAUCGCAGGUUUUCUCCUAAGUCAAAUUAAAGUCCAACAUGUGCUAGUAGAUACAGACAAACGACACGGCUCCAAUUCAGAUUUUAUUAAGAACUAUACUAAAUCAAUGAAUCGAGCAAAUGCAAUAUACAACAUACUACCGCGCACACAUGCCGACUAUAUAUAUAUGCACUUAGAAGGCAAACCGACGAUUAACCUACCUCGAUAGCUACUCCCAAUCCGGCGCGACGUCGAGAACGGCAGAAUCACACCCUCGCCCGGCCUCCCCCCGACGCUACGACGACGAACGUGCGCUUGAACGGCACCGCGGUGCGACGUCGGCGUCGAUUCGACUCCAUCCGAGAGCUCCUCCACGUACGACUCUCCACUUCAAACUAGAGAGAGAAAGGAACUUAAUUACAAAGUGCAAUACCUCUUUAAUUAAGUUCUACGUGCACUUAAAUAGGGAGUGGAUAAGCAUGGGUAGGUGGAAUUCUUAUCCACAACAAUUACAAUUCUAAUCUUUACCAACUCAUGAAGACAUACUACAUUCUCUCCCACUACAAGAAGUUUCAUCCUCGAAACUUAAAACAUAUCUCAAACCUGAGUCUUAAAAAGAUAGGGGUAGGACUCCCUCAUCACCGCCUCGGGCUCCCAAGUCGCCUUCCGCUCCUUGUGAUUACUCCACUACACCUUUACAUCCGGAAUGACCCGAUUGCGUAAUUCUUUCGACUCCCAAGCAAGAAUCCGCAACGGUCGCUUCUCGUAUCUCAGAUUCUCACCAAUCUAGAGUGGAGUGAAGUCAAUCACGUGAGAGGGAUCGAAAACAUAUCUCCUCAAUGCCGAGACAUGGAAGACAUCAUGAAUACCGGCCAGACGAGGAGGUAGAGCAAUCCUGUAAGCAACCUGUCCAACUCGCUCCAAUACCUCAAAGGGGCCAACAAAACGUGGACUGAGUUUUCUACGCACUCCAAAUCUGCGAAUCUCUCUGGACGACGAGACUUUGAGAAAUACAUGAUUCCCAACCUGAAACUCUAAGUCUCGUCUCCGGGUAUCGGCGUAGCUCCUCUGGCGGCUCUGGGCUGUCAAAAGGUGUCGUCAAACAACUCUCACCUUUUCCUCAGCCUCUAGCAAAAUCUCAGGCCCUAGUGUCCUCCUCUCACCCACAUCACUCCGCAACCGGGAUCAACAUCUGCGUCCGUACAACGCCUCAAAUGUCGAUACCAUCCUCCUCCAAAGUCCAGGACGUAUGCCCUCAGCACGUCCUCUAGAGUCUGAAUGGUCCGCUCUGACUAACCAUCUGUCUGUGGGUGAAACGUCGUGCUGAAAUGCAGCUGUGUACCCAAGGCUGUCUGCAGACUCCAAAAAUGUGACACAAAUCUCGGGUCCCUGUCCGAUACAAUUGACGUCUGUACACCAUGCAGCCUGACAAUCUCAUCUAGGUAUAGCUGCGCGAGCCUCUCUCUGGACCAGGUGGUCUGAACUAGUAGGAAGUGAGCGGACUUAGUCAGCCUGUCCACUAUCACCCAAAUAGCAUCGAAGCCACCCUGUGCUCUAGGCAAUCCCACGACGAAGUCCAGAGCCCAGAGCCGCCAGAGGAGCUACGCCGAUACCCGGAGACGAGACUUAGAGUUUCAGGUUGGGGAUCAUGUAUUUCUCAAAGUCUCGCCGUCCAGAGGGAUUUGCAGAUUUGGAGUGCGUGGAAAGCUCAGUCCACG